rnacentral:lncRNA from 1 species
UUUUUUUUUUUUUUUAGUUUAAUGUAGGUGUUAAGGCUCGAACCUGAAACCACAGAGGGAGCAAACUUCUUGAUCCCAAACUCUUACCACUAGCCACCAUAAUUUCUUAAUUCUUACAUUACACUCAAUUAAUAAUAUAUUGGUGGCUAAAUUUAAUGACAUGGUGUCAUUACCGGCACCCCACCUAUGCGGUGGGUGGGGUGUACUUUUCGUGAAUCUUGUUUUUAUAUUUUAAAAAUAAUUAAUUUUUUUAUAUUUUAAAUUAAUUUUUUAAUUUUUUCUUAUAAUUUUAAUAUAAUAAUAUUAAAAAAAAUUAUUUUUUUAUUUUAAUAUAUUAAAAUAUUAAUAUUUCAAAAAACAACCACUAUUGUAAUUCAAUAAAUUUAUUAUUUUCUCCUACAACAGUUUAUGACGCGGGUUUAUGCCAGGUGUCACGCUGUAUAUGCGGUGCGUGUCACGCCGUAUAUGCGGAGCGUGUGGUCGGCCGCAUUAGCGUCAUUUGAUUAAAACACCACCCACCCCUUGGUCUAAUAAAGACAGCACAAAAUGCAUUAAGGUCAUCGAUGGAAAUGUCCUUUAUAUCCAGACCUUGACAUGCAAUUCAAUUGAUCUCUAGUCUUUUUCCUUUUUGUAUUUAUUGGAGAUACCGACUUCGGUAAAGAUCCUCUCUACUUCUGCUCCUUCAAAUUGUUUCAAGUGACAACUUGGGUGAUUUUAGUAUUUUUAAUGAAAUAAUAAAAAAUUGAGGCUUGAGUUAGUGAUUUCAGGGUUAAUUUAAUACCAUCAUUAAAAAAAACAAUGAAAUUAGAUAAAUUAAACAAAAAAAAAAUACAGCAAUAAUUAAUUAUAAAAAAUAAACAAGAAGAUAUCAGUAUUCUUAAAAGUUCUUUAUGAUCUUAUCAAAGCAAAAACUAAAUGAGAGUGAUAAUUUCAUAGUAAGCAAAAUGAAAAAUAAGAUUUGAAACUUAAUUUUUAAUAAAUCAAAUAUUGAAGGAUAAAAUUAAAAAAAACCCGAUCCAAGUUAGUCCGCCAAAUUUAAAAAUCAAGGUGAUGAGAGAAAAAAAAAAAAGCUCGUUGGCGUUAAAUCAAAGAGCGGUAAACUACAUGCACUAUCUAGGAGGGAAGACUUACUAGAUGAUUCCAAAAACAUCAAAGGACAUCUUUUUUUGCCAUUGUAAUCCGUUGCAUGCGCCUAUCAAUUUUUUUUUAUAUCAUAUAUUUAUUAAAAUAUCAAAUUAACCCAUAGUCAACUUGAUUAAUUAUAACUAAAAAACCAAUGGACCUUACAAAAAAUACAAAAAAAUUAUUGGAUGCCAGUUAAACAAAAAUACAUUUUCAAAGGUAAUUUAGAUAUUUUAUAGUGUUUUUAAAAUAUAAAAAAUUUAUUUCAUAAUAAAUUUGAUAAUAACUAAUAAAACUCGUGAAAAGAUAAUAUUAUCUCAAUAGCUAGAAUAACUAGUUUAUUGGUUUUCUAAGAGUAAAAUAUUCAGUACAAUGUUCAAAUGAACAAUAAAUCCUCGUGUAAAGUACAGUGUUUUCCUCUCUCCUAUUAGCCUUUGGUAAUUAUUUGGAUAGCUGUUGUGUCCACUUCCUUCGAGAUCUAUAAGAAUAACCUUCUCACAAUUGUCAUUUUCCAUCUCCACACAUCUAUAUGGACUAUACCCUUGUGUUUGUUUUUGGGAAUAAUCCUCUUGGUAAACGUCCAGUCCACAAAAAGUUAAUUAAGGCAGCAUGCUAGCUUCUUCUUGGUAAACACUUCCAGCUUUUGUCCUCUUACAUUUGGAACGCCAACAUACUUCCAAGAGCAAGCUUCCUACGUACUUCUUACUUGUACCUGCUCCUCCCCCCCCCUUCAAGAUUGAUUCUCCUAUAAGUGUCAAGCAUCAAAGCUAACCUUCCUAACUUGAAAGGAAAAGCAAGAAAGUCUCUCCAAAAUUAGCUCAAGCCGAGAUGAGUUCCAUGACACCAUUGUUAAAACCAGAUGUGACCUUAUCUCUUACGUUGUCACCCAGCUCCCCUUCUCCUCAUGACCAAACUCUAAAGCCUGAAGAAAGAGGUAUACGUCUUAUCCAACUCCUUCUAAAAUGUGCAAAACAUGCAUCCUCGGGCAAUCUUCAUCGAGCCGAUGCGUGUCUUUUGGAGAUAUCGGUGCUUUCAUCGAUUUUGGGUGAUUGCAUGCAAAGGCUGGCUGCUCGUUUUGCCUCCGCCCUUGCCAUUCGCCUUGUCAAGCGUUGGCCCGGCAUACACAAGGCGCUGAACCAAGCCCAACAACCCAAAGUCGACCUUGAUAGGGCCAAGCUCCUCUUUACCAGAACCUUCCCUUACCUUAGUUUCGCUUAUGCCAUCAUAGCCAAAACCUUACUCCAUGCCAUGGCAAACGAGCGUGUGAUUCACAUCGUAGAUUUGGGCUCCGGUGACUCGAACUUGUGGGUCGCACUUCUCCGUGGUUUCGCCAACUCACCACAUGGGCCUCCACAUUUGAAGAUCACCUGUGUUAAUGGCAGCAAAGCUAUUCUUGAGAAGUUAGGUCAAAGGCUUGUCAAAGAAGCAGAAAGCGUGGGCGUACCCUUUCAAUUUAAUUCUAUAAACGCGAGCUUGAGAGAGUUAACAAAAGACAUGUUUAAGGCUGGAUCAGGAGAAGCGCUAGCUUUCGUAUCAAUAUUAAAUCUUCACGUUUUAUUAUCUGAAGAUGACCAAGUGGUUGCACAUUUUGGGGUUAACAAGAACGACGGCAUUAAAGAUUGCAAGCAAAUUGGUGAUUUUCUAGCGAUGAUUCGGUCAAUGUCACCUACGUUAUUAUUUGUAGUAGAGCAAGAAGCGGACCACAAUUUGAAUCGAUUGGUGGACCGAUUUGUAGAGGGAUUGAAUUAUUACAGCGCAGUGUUUGACUCGAUAGACGCCACUUUGGCGAGUAAUCUGGCUAGUGAUGAAAGGCUUGUUUUAGAGGAAAUGUUUGGAAGAGAGAUCGAGAAUAUUGUAGCCUGUGAGGGGUUGGAAAGGAUUGAGAGACAUGAGAGGUAUGCAAGGUGGGUAGUUAGGCUUGCACAAGCAGGGUUUAAGCCAGUUCGGUUCUGGCAUAGUUCAGGCGAGGAUGCUAAGCAAAUUAUGGAUGCCUUCGGAAAGAAUGGGUACAAGACUGUUAUUGAGAGAACAGGUUUGAUGAUUUGUUGGCGUGAACGACCACUAUAUGCUCUUACUGCUUGGACCUGUUAGCGUUGUACAUUUGGGUAUUCCUUUUCACUGUCGGAGUAUAUUUGUAAUUGCAUAAAUACUAUAAAUAUAUGGGUGUGCUGAUGUGGGUUUAGUAGGAACAGACGCACAACACUUUUAUCCUCCUAUUUCUUUCUCUUCGUCCAGGCGGCCUUUCGAUCUCUUGCUGGAGGACAGGGGCAGGUUGUGGGUGGACGUGUCGCGGGGCCCUUGAUGGCUUAAAGUCUUGCGGUUUUGAUUGGCUGCGUCCUUUGCAAUUAAUGCAGUGUAUGAUCGGUUACCACUGGAGGAGCUGGAUCGGGAGUCAGUACCAGCACUAGAGGUGCAGCAGCAGCAGCGGCCAGAACCUCACAAUCGUCGGGAGUGGCUGGAUCAGGUGGAGGACAAGUUGGUGGUGGCAGGUGGAGGAGGUGUACCCUUUUAUAAUCUGGGAGAGAACGGUAUGGGAAGCUACCCUUUUGCCGGUCAUGGCGAAGGAGAUCAUAUGUUUAGUAGUGCAGCAGGUCUACAUUUUAAAUGAGUAUAUACCGCUAGCUAGCUACUAGUGUCAAUAAUGAAUAUCCCAAUUUAAAGAUCUGAUUAAUUGUUGUCUUCCCGUAUUAAUUUCAAGAAUUAGACAAGGAUAUUGGUGCUAAAUCAGUAUUUCUUCAAGAAGAAGAAGAAGAAGAAGAAGAGUGCAGGAAAUUUUGUGUCCUUUUCAUUUUGUUAGCAAGAAAUUUAAACAAUGUUGUCGUUGUUGCGAUCAACCUUGCAAAUGGUGAUUUUGUAGAGGGGAAUUGUAUCAGAUCAGGAGAGGAUGAAGUCCUUUGAAAAGCUAAAUGAACAGCGGAUUAAUCGAAGAUCCUGUUAAGUGUGUCCAAAAUCAGUGAGUCAACACAUACAAAUUAAAUCAUAAUUCUGACUUUUUUUAAACGAAAUAAUAUGUUUUUAUCUUAAUUUUUUAUUAAAAAAAUAUUAUAUUAAAUAUUUAUUUUAAAUUAAAUUAUAUUUUUACUAAUUUUACAAGUUUCAAUCUCCAUGUAAUUUAAUUUUUUUUAUAAAAAAAUAUUAAUAAUAUUUAAAUAAUUUUUUAUAUUAAAAAAAAUUAUUCAACUAAAAUUAUAUCAAUUAUACGUGGGUUUGCUCACCUGUGAUCUCAAAUUCGAAUCUUAUGAUUGCUAAUAUAAUAGCCAUUAAAAAUUUAUAUAAUUAUUAAUUUCAAGAUAUAUGAAAUGAAUAAAUAUACAUUCAAUCUGAUCCGGAUAUUAAAGAUAAUAAAAAAUUUAUUUUGCAUUAAAUAAACUACAAGGAAAGCCAAGCGCUAAGUAAUUAAUUAAAAUAGACUACUAGUACGGAAUGGAAGCAAAAAUCAGAAUGUUGAAGCGAAAUGGAGACCCCUCCCUCCCUCCACAAACAAUCUCCUUAAAACCCGUACGUUAACAUGCAAGAAAAGAGGCAGGCCUGUAAAUAAUAUUAGACUUGGUCUCUCACCAUAGAUGAUAGAUCCCAUCUCCUCCUCUUCUCCCAAUCAUUUUCUCAUGCAUCAAUCCGAAGUGCCUCCCUAGCUCCUUCACCAUCCAUUAAUCCUCCCGCCUUCUUCCUCGACCUUCCACCUUCCUUCAAUCUUGAUCCCAGCUCUGUUUUUCCUUCUCUUUUUCUGCCUUUAUCCUAUGCUACGCAGGUACGUCCAUUGUCGUUAAUUAGCACUGAUUGCAGGUAUAUGUAUGUCGUCUUUUCGAAUUCAACAAGGCAGCCCCAUCGCUCUUUAUUCACUCCAAUCCCAUCCAGCCCAAGGUUUUCUUCCCUUUUUCCUUCUUUUCUGGUGAGUUUUUCUUGGAUCAGAUUACUCAUACACAGGCAAGAAAUCGAACGCCAUUAAUCAUAAUUCGUACGAUUGGUAACUAUAUAUACACAUCAUAUAUGCUCGUGAUCAUGAUGAGGUGCAAAUGUUAUGGUGUGUUCGUUGUAUCGUCAAUCAAAAGGCCAUUGGUCAAGAGACAUUGUUAAACGAUCGAGCAGCAGCCUAACUACAAAAUUAAUUAAUUAAUUGAUAAUGGCAUCUCUGUCUUCCCAACCAUCCAAGAAGGGCAUACGUAGCCCAGCUGGGAACACGGCCAACAACAACAGCUCCCAGCAGGGAAAUCGUGGUUCCACCGGCCAAACUGUCAAAUUCGCUAGACGAACUUCAAGCGGUCGCUAUGUUAGUCUAUCAAGAGAAGACCUUGAUAUUUCUGGAGAACUAUCGGGAGAUUACACGAACUAUACGGUGCAGAUUCCCUCCACACCUGACAAUCAGCCAAUGGACACGUCCGUGGCGGUCAAGGCCGAAGAGCAAUAUGUUUCCAAUUCUCUUUUUACAGGCGGGUUCAAUAGCGUUACGCGUGCGCAUCUCAUGGACAAGGUGAUAGAUUCGGAGGUGUCUCAUCCUCAGAUGGCUGGUGCCAAGGGCUCUUCGUGUGCAAUGCAUGCUUGCGAUGGCAAGGUCAUGAAGGAUGAGAGAGGACAUGAUGUCAUACCUUGUGAAUGCAGGUAUAAUAUCAAGCUCUGACUUCUCUUAAUUACGUACAGGAACAUAAUUUAAUUUAUUUUAAUUUUCUGCUCGCGUGCAGGUUCAAGAUUUGCAGGGAUUGCUAUAUGGACGCCCAAAAAGAUACUGGUUUAUGUCCAGGGUGCAAGGAGCCAUACAAGGUGGGUGAUUACGAGGAUGAAAUACCAAAUUUUUCCAGUGGAGCACUGCCAUUGCCACCUCCAAGUAAAGGAGGUGAUCACAAUAACAUGACAAUGACGAAGAGAAACCAAAAUGGAGAUUUCGAUCACAACAGGUGGUUGUUUGAGACACAAGGUACUUACGGCUAUGGGAAUGCCUUUUGGCCCCAAGAUGACAUGUAUGGCGAUGAUGGCGAUGAAGGGUUUCCGGGUGGCAUGUUAGAAAAUAUGGAUAAGCCAUGGAAGCCCCUCAGUCGUGAGCAGCCAAUCUCCAAUGCCAUCAUCAGCCCUUACAGGUGAUACAUACAUACAUACACAUACAUACAUACAUACAUACACACACACACAUAUAUAUAUAUAUAUAUAUAUAUAUAUAUAUAUAUAUAUAUAUAUAUAUAUCUUAAUUUGUCUUAGUUUUGGAUAAUUUAUUAUUAGAAUCUGCUUUUAUAAUUAAGAGUGCAACAUUUAUUACAGACUAAUAUUGCCAGAAUUAAAAAUGUGUAGUUAAUUUAGAGGAAAUUGAUAUGAACUGGUAUAAAAAUAAAAGAGAGGGUAAUUGAAAAGAGAUUAGUGCUGUGCUGUGAAUGACUACAGGUUUCUAACGGAACUGCAACUCCAUAGUUAUGAUCUCAUACUAAAUUUCUGCAAGCGGGUACCAUCCAGCUUUCUGAAGCCCAAAUAAAUCUCGCAGUCACGGUGGCACCAGCAGAACAUGGAGUUCUUGGUCGACUUAGAAACAAGAAAAAAAACUCACAAAUUUUCGAAUUUUCCGCAACCUUUCUCAUGUAUAUAUAUUCGCACAUAUCGGUGCUGACUUACAUAUACAUGACUCCAGACAAAAAUUAAUGAUAAAUUGGUAAGCCUGCAUAACAUUUCUUAUGCACGCAUAUUUGCAGGUUGCUGAUUGUGGUUCGACUGGUUGUGCUGGGUUUCUUCUUGCAUUGGAGAAUAAUGCAUCCAAAUGAGGACGCAAGAUGGUUGUGGGGCAUGUCAGUGGUUUGUGAAGUAUGGUUUGCUUUCUCAUGGAUCCUGGAUAUAAUUCCCAAACUUUCUCCUAUCAACCGGUUCACUGAUCUUGAGGUCCUCCGUGACAAGUUUGACAUGCCGUCGCCUUCCAAUCCCACAGGCAGAUCUGAUCUCCCUGGUAUUGACCUCUUUGUGUCCACUGCUGAUCCUGAUAAAGAGCCACCACUUGUCACUGCCAACACUAUCCUUUCCAUACUCUCGGUGGAUUAUCCUGUAGAGAAGGUGGCAUGCUAUAUCUCUGAUGAUGGAGGUGCGCUCCUCACUUUUGAGGCAAUGGCUGAGGCAGCAAGCUUUGCUGAUUUGUGGGUUCCAUUCUGUCGAAAACAUAAUAUUGAGCCAAGGAACCCUGAAACCUACUUCAGCCUAAAAAUUGAUCCAACUAAGAACAAGAGCAGGAUUGAUUUUGUCAAGGAUAGAAGGAAGAUGAAAAGGGAGUAUGAUGAAUUCAAGGUGAGGAUCAAUGGGCUUCCAGACUCCAUUAGGAGGAGAUCAGAUGCUUUCAAUGCAAGAGAGGAAAUGAAGAUGUUGAAGCACAUGAGGGAGAGCGCCGGAGGUGAUCCUUUGGAGCCAAUAAAGGUCCCGAAAGCUACAUGGAUGGCUGAUGGCACCCAUUGGCCUGGAACUUGGGCCUUCCCAGCUGCCGAACAUUCCAAAGGUGACCACGCUGGAAUUCUUCAGGUACCGGAAAACUUCAUUCGUUUUUUAUUUUCUUGAUCAUAAGCUGUCUUGUAAAUAAUUUGAUCAGGAUUAUAUUAAUUCAUGAUCAUGUGGGUGCAGGUGAUGUUGAAGCCUCCUAGCCCUGACCCACUGAUGGGAGGUGCGGAUGAUAAGAUGAUAGACUUUACAGAUGUGGACAUACGACUACCAAUGUUUGUGUAUGUCUCACGAGAAAAGAGGCCAGGCUAUGACCAUAACAAGAAAGCUGGUGCCAUGAAUGCUCUUGUAAGAGCAUCUGCCAUUCUAUCCAAUGGUCCAUUCAUUCUCAACUUGGAUUGCGAUCACUACUUCUACAACUGCAAAGCUAUCAGGGAAGGAAUGUGCUUCAUGAUGGACAGGGGUGGCGAGAAUAUCUGCUAUAUACAGUUUCCCCAGAGAUUUGAAGGCAUUGAUCCUUCUGAUAGAUACGCUAAUCGCAAUACUGUGUUUUUUGAUGGAAACAUGCGUGCCCUUGAUGGUGUUCAGGUACUUAAAAUUAAAAAAAUAAAAAUAAAAAUAAAAAUAAAUACUUGUAGAUAUAAUUAUUGCCAACGUCAAUUACAAGAACACACACAUUAACAGUGAUGGAUUAAUCUUACACACAUGCGUUACAGGGCCCGGUUUAUGUUGGAACGGGUUGCAUGUUUAGAAGAUUUGCAUUAUAUGGAUUUGAUCCACCGAAUACAAGUAAGACCGAGGAAAAGAAAGAAGCAGAGACACUUCCCUUAAGAGCUACCGACUUCGAUCCUGAUCUUGAUUUCAAUCUGCUACCCAAGCGGUUUGGGAAUUCUACAAUGCUGUCUGAAUCUAUUCCUAUUGCCGAGUUCCAAGGCCGCCCUUUAGCUGAUCAUCCCGCUGUCAAGUAUGGACGUCCUCCUGGUGCUUUGAGGGUCUCUCGUGAACCACUUGAUGCCGCUACAGUUGCUGAAGCCGUUUCUGUCAUUUCUUGCUGGUAACGCCAACCUUUCCAUUUCAUUAUUGAUCAACUAUAGCCAGAAAUCACAUCAUCUGUGACUUUUUUUUUUUAUAAAAAAGAGAGAGAGCACAAGACAUUCACCAUCCAUGUUAUUACAUGCUGCUUUAUGUAUAGGUACGAGGACAAGACUGAAUGGGGGGACCGAGUGGGUUGGAUUUAUGGUUCAGUCACGGAAGAUGUUGUGACUGGCUAUCGGAUGCACAACCGUGGCUGGCGCUCUGUCUAUUGCAUAACCAAGCGUGAUGCUUUUCGUGGCUCAGCUCCUAUUAACCUUACUGACCGUCUCCACCAGGUGCUUCGUUGGGCCACUGGCUCUGUUGAGAUUUUCUUUUCCAGAAACAAUGCCUUUUUGGCCACUAGGCGUCUCAAAAUCCUCCAACGCCUUGCUUACCUUAAUGUUGGCAUAUACCCAUUCACCUCGAUUUUCUUGAUCGUCUAUUGCUUUCUCCCUGCACUCUCUCUUUUUUCCGGAUUCUUCAUUGUCCAAACCCUGGACAUCGCAUUUUUAAUCUACCUCCUACUUAUAACUAUUUGCCUCGUCCUUCUUGCCAUUCUAGAGGUGAAGUGGUCUGGUAUAGAGUUGGAAGAGUGGUGGAGGAACGAACAGUUCUGGCUUAUCUCUGGAACCAGUGCCCACUUUGCUGCUGUCAUGCAAGGCCUUCUCAAGGUGAUUGCAGGAAUUGAGAUAUCUUUCACAUUGACUUCCAAGUCUGCAGGAGAUGACGUUGACGAUAUAUAUGCAGACCUGUAUCUCGUAAAGUGGACAUCCUUGAUGAUUCCACCCAUUGUGAUUGCCAUGACAAACAUGAUUGCCAUGGCCUUUGCUUUCAUAAGGACGAUUUAUAGCACAGUUCCGCAGUGGAGUAAGUUUGUUGGCGGAGCUUUCUUUAGCUUCUGGGUGCUGGCUCAUUUAUAUCCUUUUGCCAAGGGCUUGAUGGGAAGGAGGAGAAAGACCCCAACCAUCGUGUUUGUUUGGUCCGGUCUCAUCGCCAUUACUAUCUCUUUGCUAUGGAUUGCCAUUAGCCCACCAAAGACAACCGGAACAGCUGAUGGAGCUGGGGGAGGGUUUCAGUUCCCUUGACUGCUGCCGGCUGAGUGAACAGAUGCAUGAAUGAAUCUUAGAUUACUGACUUGUAAGAUUUUCAGGAUCCAAGACAGUUCAAGAGAACAAGGCUUGAGAUGGAACAAGAUUUUGCACUUCAGUAUUUUCUUUCUGUAACUUUCUAAUAGACUUACGGUCAGCAAAAGGUAGCCUUGAAGGAAUGGUUACAUGCUGAAAAAUCUGUAAGCUGAAGGUCAAAUAUUGAUGUCACUCCCAUAAAUUUUCGUGAUAAUUCAGUGGCCUGUUUUUUUUUAUCCCUCCCAGUAAUCCUGUCCCCAUUCAAAUGCAUUCACGCAAAUGCAUCACAGGCACCUAGAACAUAGCCAGCACGUCGUUUUUUUGCCUCCCCCUGCCCAGAUUGUUAUAUAAGCAUGCACCUAAUCAUAUAGCAUAUGAUCAAACAUUCAAUUCAGAAAAAUAAUCAAGCAGUAAAAAGGCGCAUAAAUUAAUUCCUUGGCCUUACAAGUGACCGCCGACAGAAAUAAAAGAAUCAACACCCAUCAUACAUGGAUUCUAUGAUCCACCACAUUCCCCCUUCUUUCCCUUUUAGUAAACCAAAAAGGCAUUAUAUGAAGGGAAAGAAAAAACUGAAAUAUGUAAAUAGUUCCUUAAUGAUUCAAUUCUGAUGAUUUAUGCUACUUAAUUACAGAAUUAAACAAAAUAAAACAAGUGUGUAAAUAAAUAUAUCCAAUUAGAUAAUCAACUGUGAGUGUGACUAGCAAAUUACACUACAAAAUCAGAGUUUUGACUUGAUCCUACAUAUUUCAACUCUUCGGAGCAAGAUGACCGUGAAAUCUCCUCCCUGUGUGCUCAACUCAAGUGACUGCCAAAAUGCGAAUCCUAAAGAUCUGACAUCUCAAAUGGUACUCGCACGAACAACUGGCCAUGCAGGGUGACCACAGCAGAUGUCUGAUGCGGAUCAAUUCUGGUAGGUAAACUCACGACCUGAAAGUAAAACCUUCUGUUAGUCUUAUUACUAUUUACUUGGAAGUGGUCCUUGCUGAUUUUAAAACCUGACGCUGCGAAACACCCAUCCACAACUUAAGGCAGAUGUUAGGUCAUCAAGGCUUUAGAAUCAGUCUAGGAAUAGCAGUUUCAUAUUGAAGAAUCCAGGACAUGGAUGCAACAAAACAUAAAGUUACUAUUUUAUUCUUCAACUGUAAAAGAUUGAAAUUCUGAUGUUGGAAAAUAUUUGCAUAAAUAAUACACAGCCAAAAAACUGUCUACAACAUCCUCUGAGUGCUCUGAACAUGCAGAAAAAGUCAAGCAACCCAUGCAAACAAAUGCAAAUAACAAAGCCCUGUUCAUGCUUAACAAACCUUUUUAAAAGGUGUCACGCCCCAAGGAUUAUCCAGAUGCUCUGGUUGGCCAGAUAUGAUCAAACGCCCUGCUGGAUCAGACUGAACAUGCACCUGGCAGCAAAGGACAGAAUAGACUUAGCACAUGAAGAUUUAUAGAAUGUAUAGAUUCAGUUAGAAAGGCAAUCAUCCACAUAUAUAUAUAUAUAUAUAUAUAAGGAGAAGAAACAAAAGCAAACUCAAUUGAAGGCAAUAUCACAGACAACCGGGCAAGUGCCAUAAAGUUACAGAACAGGCUAACCACCCCUUGGGCUGGACCUCCAAGUUGGAUCAGGCUAAUAUGUCAUUCUAGGUACACUUCUAAUAUUGCUUCCUAAUUGAAGGUUCUGUAAUUUUCAUGCUCAAAUGAAGAGACAUUGUCAGGCUCAAUUGCCAUGCUCAAAUUAGAGAGUAGCCUAACUGGAUGCAACCCCAAAUGGCAAGAAAGAGAGCACCAGAACUUAAAAAUUAAGUUUCCUUGCUUUGCUGGUGUACUUCUAAGCAAAAGCCAAAGCAUUUGGAACCAGUCAUCAUUUGCAUCUGACAUUCAUUUUGCUGCACUGCAGCCUCCAUAAUCAAACUUUACCUCUAAAAACUUGAACUUCACUUAAAAAGCUCAAUUAGUCUUUGUGUGAUAGUUAUCGAAAUUGAGAAAUUGAUGGACUUGUGAGUGUGAGUGUAUGUGAGAGAGAAAGAGAGCUUACCUCCUCACGCAGAAGCCCUGGAACUAAAGCAUAUAUCUCAAAGCAGUCAUUCUGCAUGCAGUGAAAAAUUAAAUCAUAUUAGUUCUUAACUAGGAGAAGCUUGGGGAGAAAUUUAUAUAAGUACCAUAAGAAAGAUGAGAAAACUUACAGUUUUUUGCACAUUGAUUUUUACCCAGUCAGCUGGGGGUCCAACAUCAAUGACCAUUGCAUCCCCCCUGCCAAAACAAAACCCAAUUCAUCACUUCAAAUGUAUGGGUACAAUCAUCAAAUCAAAUAUCGAGGCGUAUAAUGUGAUGAAAGAACCACUGAUCUUAACUGUGAUUUUAUUGCCUUCUUGUGACCAAAGUGGACAGCACCCUCAACAGGUGAUAGCCGUUUACGCUUCAGUAAACCUAAGUCAAUAGGUCAAGUUUAGAAAGAAAGGCCAUGUUUGCAAUUAAAGUGCUGAAGAUGCUGAAUCAGUUAAUUAGUCAUACCGUUUGUUUUAAGCUGCUUGUCACCCUUUGGUGUAGAACUCAAGUUCUUAUCCUAAAUUAAAAAAAAAAAAAAAACUAAAAGAUGAAGUUACACAAAAAAAUGCAAAUUCCUCCUAUGAUGAAACCAAUCCACAUGAUGGGAAGGGAAAAAGGUAAAACAAUCAACAGAAAGCCAAAAUUUCACAUUUGCAGAGAUUGGAAGGUGACAAACCUUAAUGAUUGGAUGACAAACCUCACCAUUGCCAAGAAGACGCUGGGAAUGCCAACCCUGCAUAGCACGAGCUGCAGCAUCCCUUCUUGCCCUACCUGAUGCAAGAGCUUGACUUCCACCAGCCUGUAAUUAAAUUGAAAAUUAAAUAAAAUAGCACUCCAGGCGGAUGCAAGAUUGUAUUCAAACAAACAAACGUUGCCAAAUAGAACUAAAAGCAUGAAAGUUUCAGCUCAAUCAUAAAGACAGAAUAAAACAAGCCAAUUGAAAUCCACAACAGAAAUAAUUUGAAAAGCAUAUACUCCAUCAAAUUUAAAAAGAAGUGGGUAAAAAUAAAAAUAAAGAGCGCAACACAAUGAAUAACUUCAAUGAAGUUUCAGAAUUAACUUUUGCCUGUCAACUAGAAUUUUAAGCCACUGCACAUCUCCAUAUCAUCAAAGGCCUUAAGUCCUUUGAAAUCAGUUCAUGAGUACACAAGAAUCAACUCAGUUUUCUAACACAUAGCACCCAUUGAUAUAACAUCCAAAUCCUGACUUAAAGCAACUGAUCCAUAGUGAAUACAACUAUAGCCAGUACAGUAAAACCCCACACCAAAACUUAUCUAAAUUUCUUAGAAAAGACUACCUUCCUGUUUUCCAACACAUCAUAAUCGCAAUCCUGUAAAUUGUCAACUUUCUAUGCAUAGCAAUUUUAUCUCCAGAAUCAAAUCUCCAUUGCAUCCCUCAUUGAAUCACUAGAAGACAGUCCAAGUUUACAGAAUAUCUGGGAAAGCUUAAAAUCCAUGAUUUUAUUAACCAUACCUGAUUAUAAUUAUUCCCAAAUAAAAAAAUGCAACUGUUACAGCUUUCACUCCACUAUCCGCAAACCAAUGUACAGUAUGAACACCUAAUUCUAAUGCAACACUUUCAUUCUUAAACCUUCAAAUGGUACUCUCUGCCUAUAAAAUGUCUUGAGGACCACUUACCCAAUUGCAUUAAGAAUCUUGAAGACAGAGGUGAGACAUGCAAACAUCAAUCACAGUUAGCUAUUAAAAGUUACCUGAUUUUCAGCCCUCAUAGAUUCUGUCAAGGGGCCAUCUGAAAAAGGUAGCUCACCAUUCUUUAAUUUAUUCUUUUCAUAUUCAAGGAGUGCCUGAAAAAAAACGAUACUUGUGAACUCCAAGAACCAGGUAAAGGACAAACUGGAAAUGCGAGAUACAACAUUUUCAAAAAAAGAAAAAGUGUGCAAUUAAAGCAUAACCUUCUCAUAAAAGAUUCGAAAUGUCCAAGAGACAGUAGUGCAGGUUCUGUGAAAUUCAAAGCAUGAUGAAAAACUCAAAAUUAGUAUCCAAUAAGAAAUGUAAGUUCUCCAGAUGUGCAAUAGAAAAGUGUUCAUGAUUGUCAAACAAGAGCACAGGAGUCAAGUUUCAUGUUAAUUAACCUAACUUGUGGUGUCCAAUCAUAGGGACAACUCUGUUUCUUUCCCUAUAUAUAUAUAUUUACAAACUCAAGAAAAUCACUACCAAUAGAAGCGCUACAUAAAACAAAAAGCUUUGGGAUCUCUUGCAAGUAUUAAAUAAGUAAACAUGCAAAGUAAUUUAUACUUCACACAAAUUUGCUAGAGUAAUAUGAAUCAUUUCCUACAACCUUACCAUAGAACUAACAAUUGACACAGAUAUUAGAUAUCAACUAAAGAAAAAAGCAUCUGUAGAAAAGAAUAAAUUACUUUGGUGGUUUGAAAGAUUCUCCCACUUGCCGCCAUAAUUUGCAUGAUGUCACCUACACAUGAUCAUGACCGAAAGGUAAAUCUAUGAUACAUUCUCUAGCAGCAAUAUUCAGAUACAUAAUUUUCUAAACCUUUUUUUGUUCCUUUCUUAAUGCCACAUGGAACACAAUCAUGAGAUUGAGCAAAAUGGACCCAUAAUAAGAAUUCAAAACUAUUUAAGAUCAAGCAGUGUCUGAAAUAUUGUCAAGCACACAUUGGAGUUCACAGUGUCUGAAAUCAUGUCACCAAGUACUUGGAAACAACGCAAAAGAAAAGUAAGGAGAAGAAUGCUAAAACCCGGCACAUCAUGCAAGAAGUUCACAGGUUAGGCUGGAUCAAUGUAAGACAACAUGAGAACUGAUUUAUGACGACCAUUUGAAAUCACUUGUAACACAUGAUUAAUUACGUCAACAAGGCAUCCAGAAGUAAAGGAAAUUGCAAAUAGAACCGAUAGUUAGGUAAAUGAAAGGCGGCCUGCGUUGCAGGGGACGAGAAAUUAAGAAAAACCUGUUCAUAGCCUCCCAACUUGAUCACCAAUCUCCAUAACCUACAUGGAAUGAGUAUAAAAGACAAAAAAAAAAGAAAACAAUUAUGACGUGCUAUAAGGAAAAGCAAGCGAAAGAAAGAAGAAGAGAAAGAAAGGGACUUACUUGAGCAAAUUGAGCUCUUCUUUAUAAAAUUUGGGGGGUUUGAAUUCCAAGUGGUUCUGUUUAUGAAAAGAUUCAACAUCCUUCAUAAAAGCAGCUUGCUCUUCCUCAGUUCCGGACUCGUAACCAUCAGCAGAAGAAUCCAAAAGGAAAGACUUGGUUGGUGGUGGUGGAGUGUUGAGAGCAGAAAUUUCUGUAGGAGCUUCCUUCUUGUCAAUUUCUGUAGGAACUACAGCACCUUUCUCAUCAUCAUCUUCUUCAUCUUCAGCUUUGGGGUCCGAGUGACUCGAGGGAGGAGGAGGUGCGUGAGUGCCCUCGUCAUCAUUUUUGAGAGGCGGAGAAGAAAGCUGUUUGGCACCAGCAACAUUGGUAGCGGUGGUGGCUACAUCAGUGUUGGGCUCAUCAUGAGGAUCCUUGUUGUUGUUGUUGUUGUUAUCAACUGUUUCGUCCCCCUUUCCCUCAGACUUGAUGAAAUCUUGAGCGGCGGCGGCAUUACAAGUAUCAUGAUCAUGGGGAUGAGGAGUGGCAGGAUUCGUAUCGGUUAGGUCAACUGAAGAUUGGAUAUUAUCCUUGUCCUCUAGAGCUGAAUCAUUAAGGGCGAGUGAAGGAGGAGUGAGAAUCGGAGCAGCAGUAGCAUCAACAUCGUUACCUUUGGGGUCUUCGCUGGAGGCUUUGGUUUCGGCUCCCCCUUCCUGUUCCGCUUCCGGUUCACCUUCCGGUUUGAGAUUGUCGGGAGCGGGCUCCUUCUCAUUGGCGGCUUCUUCCUCUUCUUCUUUGGUAUCCACCAUUUUUUCUUCAGUGUUAUUAUUACCAUCACUUGCCAUUUAUUAUUAUUGUUUGGAUGGUGAAUGUGAAAACCCCCUAGACCAAAAGUUGCAGACUUUUCGUUAUGAUUAACAAAAUAAAUAAAAGAGAGAAACAGAGGAAGAGGGAGAGAUGCUUGAGAGAGAAAGGGCUGUGAAACCCUAGCUUGAUAUGGGUUAUUUAAAAUGACCAAGGCAGAAACAGAGGUCCACACAACACGUAGUGUAUUUAUAUUUAUUUAUUAUUAUUUAAUGCUACAUUGAAUUAUUAUUAUUAUUAUUAAACUCGCAAACACUCCAACCCUAACCAGGAAGAACACCCUUUUUUUUUUCUUUCCUUUUAAGAUUUAUUCUUGAGCAGGAAGGAGCAUUAAAACUUAAAAGAGGUUAGGACAGACAGUAACAAAAGGGGGGGAAUAAAUAAAGAGAGAGGAAGAAAAUAAGGAAACAACACGACGACUACGACUAUCCAUAUGGGACGGGAGGUGGCAUUAUUCAUCAAUUCACUCACCUCCACUCGGUCAGUCCUAGACUUCUAGCUCUCCUUCGUUCUUCUUUUGCUUCCACUUUCCAGAUUUAGAGAGAGAGAGAGAGAGAGAGAGAGCUCUAGCUGUGGUGGGUAGAAGAGAAGAGUGAUUGCUCAACUGACUCGUAGCACUUAGUGAGUUUGUUUGUUCAAGUAAAGCUAAAGGUAGAGAGUAUAGGGGGCAGCGCGGCGCGGGGCAGGGCAGCGACGCAAUGAUGUGUUGAAUUCAUGAUCAUAUCACGGCACGCGUGAACUGGUUUUAAUUCAUCGGCUGGGUUGGCUCAGCUCAGGCAGUCCCUCUCCUCCCCUUCCCUCAUGGAUGAUAGUACCACUACCCAGUUUUAUUGGGCCUAAGGCCUAUUCGAUCCGCUCUUUGUAAUUAAUUAAAAGGCCCAUCAUCACCUGAAUCUGAUCAACUCAAAGAUCCUUCAAGCUGUAGAAAUGGAGAGCACUCUCUCUCUCUCUCCCCCCCUAGCGUGUUAUUUUCAUCUGAUCUCCCUCCCUCCUUCCUAAUUCCUCGAUGAACACCAGAAUUAUUGCCUUGGCCUCGCUCUUUUUUUCUUUUUGGUUCCUAUUUUAGUUUAUCAUCCCGCUGACCCAAACGCACAUCCAUAAGAAUUUCCUGCCUAACACAUAUCAAUUUGCUAAUACAACAGCUUCCCACCUUUUUUCCCGUUGUUCUAGCCCCAAGGGCUUCUUCUUCUUGAAACCCUAGGACGCCCCCCGCCCCCAGCCCCCCCUCACUGCUUAAAUCUCCUAUCGAAAGCAGAACAGAAAAGACGCCAAGAAAGAAAGUGGGAGCUCAUUAUCAGUAGCUGUAGCAGUUUCUAAGUGUGGGUCAGUUGAGUUGUAUCCUUUAUACCACUUAUUCCUCAUUUCCUUACAUGUACUAAUCUUACCACAUCUUUUCAUUUUAAGUGGAGCAGACAGACACUAUUUUAGGUUUAUGUGUAUGUUAGUUUAAUUUCAUCACAUAAGUUGAAUUUGAGAUGGAAAACGAGGUACUUGAAUUCGAUAUAGGUUUAGGAAGUGGAGCUGAUGAUGAUGAUGAUGAUGAUGCUGUUGACAUCGAUAUUGACGACGAUUUGCCUUCCACUCCUCCCCAUCAUCUUACCACUUCUCACAAUUCUGCUUCCACUUCUGCUACUCGAAUUUACCUUCCUGAGGGUGACCUUUCGGAUCUUGAACCUUAUGAGGGCAUGGAAUUCGAGUCCGAAGAGGCUGCCAAGGCCUUCUACAAUUCCUACGCUAGGCGUGUUGGCUUUAGCACCCGUGUCAGCUCUUCCCGCCGUUCCAGGCGUGAUGGAGCUAUUAUUCAGAGACAAUUUGUGUGUGCCAAAGAGGGCUUUAGGAAUUUGAAUGAGAAGCGUACCAAGGAUAGAGAGAUCAAGCGCCCCCGUGUUAUCACUAGAGUUGGUUGCAAAGCUUCCUUGUCUGUCAAAAUGCAGGAUUCUGGCAAAUGGGUUGUCUCCAGUUUUGUUAGGGGACAUAAUCAUGAGUUGGUCCCUCCCGAUCAGGUGCAUUGCCUCCGUUCACACAGGCAAAUAUCUGGCCCUGCUAAGACCUUGAUCGAUACGUUGCAGGCUGCUGGAAUGGGCCCUCGUAGGAUUAUGUCUGCCUUAAUUAAGGAGUAUGGUGGGAUUAGCAAAGUUGGAUUUACAGAGGUCGAUUGCCGGAAUUACAUGAGGAACAAUCGUCAGAGAAGCAUGGAAGGAGACAUCCAGCUCCUUUUGGAUUAUUUGAGGCAAAUGCAAAGUGAGAACCCCGAUUUCUUUUAUGCACUCCAGGGGGAUGACGGUCAGUUUACGGGCAACGUGCUGUGGGCUGAUCCAAGAGCCAGGGCAAACUACAGUUAUUUUGGUGACACUGUUACUUUUGACACCACCUACAGGUCCAACAGGUACCGCUUGCCCUUUGCGCCCUUCACUGGAGUGAACCAUCAUGGACAACCUGUUUUGUUCGGUUGUGCUUUCAUAUUGAAUGAGACUGAAGCAUCAUUUGUUUGGCUGUUUCAGACGUGGCUUACAGCAAUGUCUGGCCGUCAUCCCCUGUCGAUCACCACUGAUCAUGAUGCAGUGAUAAGAUUGGCCAUCAUGCAGGUCUUCCCUGAGACCCGCCAUCGGUUUUGCAAAUGGCAUAUAUUCAAGAAAUGCCAGGAGAAGUUGUCCCAUGUGUUACUCAAACAUCCAACUUUUGAGUCAGAGUUUCAUAAAUGUGUUAACUUGACCGAGUUGAUCGAAGAAUUUGAAUCCUGUUGGUUGUCACUUGUUGAUAGAUAUGAACUUCGGGAUCAUGAGUGGCUUCAAACAAUAUAUUCUGAUCGCAGGCAGUGGGUCCCUGUGUAUCUGCGGGAUGCUUUUUUUGCUGAGAUGUCUAUAACCCAGCGAAGUGAUAGCAUGAACUCAUACUUUGACGGUUACGUGAAUGCUUCAACCAAUCUGAACCAUUUCUUUAAGCUGUAUGAGAGAGCUAUAGAGAGUCGGAAUGAGAAAGAAGUUAAAGCAGAUUAUGAUACAAUGAACACAAACCCAGUUUUGAAGACCCCAUCUCCAAUGGAGAAACAAGCAUCCGGGCUUUACACUAGAAAAUUGUUCGUGAGAUUUCAAGAGGAGCUAGUUGGGACGUUAACUUUCAUGGCAUCUAAAUCAGAAGAUGAUGGGGAGAGCAUUACAUACCAAGUUGCUAAGUAUGGGGAAGAUCAUAAAGCUUACCAUGUUAAAUUCAAUGUUUUGGAGAUGAAGGCGACUUGUAGCUGCCAGAUGUUUGAGUUCUCUGGUCUUCUGUGCCGACAUGUGUUGACAGUCUUUAGAGUGACCAAUGUCCUUACUCUCCCAUCUCGUUACAUUUUGAAACGAUGGACAAGAAAUGCCAAGAGCAAUGUCAUAUUGGAAGAACGCCCUACUGAUGUAUAUACCGGCUAUCUUGAAUCUCAUACUGUUCGGUAUAAUACCCUACGCCAUGAGGCCUUCAAAUUUGUAGAGGAAGGAUCCAAGUCCCUAGACACUUACAAUGUGGCAAUGGGUGUUCUGCAAGAGGCCACAACUAGAGUUGCACAAGCAACAAAGAAUGAGGGGAGAGCUGGUGAUGUCAAUGGCCGUAAUAAAGGGGACUCCGCAAGCAGUGGAAUUAGGGCUAAUUAUACCAGCGGGAAUCAUCUGGGGAUCUCUGGCCAACCUUUGUCUGAGGUUAGAAUCAUUUUUCAUUUACCAUGCUUCGUGCUUCAUCUAUUUUCUUGCAAUCACAUGGUGUCAAUUGAUUUCAUUUAUUACUGUCUACUGCUUCAUUUCUCCAUAGACCUACUUGUAUACACCAUUUUUCUACGUUCAUUUUCUGUUCUUUUAGCUCUCUUAAUAAGUUGGUUUUCUGCUAAAUGUUGAACUUUCACACCUUCUCAAUGAAUCCAAAAUUUUGAUUUUAAAAUUCCCAUGAGCAGCAUCUAUUUAGUGAUUGAAGGAUACCCUCAUCAUGGUGAUCACUAGAAAAUUGUCUAUCUCAGACCUUUGUCCAUCCAUGUACACACAAGCUCAAAACUUGGAAACCUCUGUUAACAUGACUAGUAUUCUUCACCUAUUUGAGGUUUUUGGCAGGGGUGUUUGUUGAAGAGCCCUUGGUAUUCUUUUUUAGCUUUUUAUGUUAAUAAUAAUAAAACAUACAUAUGAUCAUGGUCAUUUAAUUCAAUAUGAGAAUUUCAGUACAACCAUUAAUUGAUUGCAUCCUAAUUUUAGGAAUUUCUAGUUCUCCUGUACUCCUGAAGGCCUGUAUUGAGUUAUUAUUCUGAAUAGAUGUGCUGAAUGAAAUAAAAUCCAUGCAUCAGGGAAAUCUAAAUCGCAUGAUAUCCUAAAUAAAAUCACUUCAUUUUAUGGAAUUGUUCGUAGAUGUUUGGGAAAAUACAAGGGAAAAAAACGCAGUUAAAGAAUUUGUAACUCUACAAAAAAGUUUGACUUGAAGUCGUGAAGUAUGGAGGAAAAUUGAAAAAAGAAAUACUGUACAUUGAGCUUGUAAAUACUUAAGAUAAGAGUGAAAAACAACCUUGUAUAUCUGGCUUUUCACUGAGAAGGCUUCUUGACCAGCACAAGACCAACGCAAACUGUUUUUCAAUAUAUUGAAGGUUCUCUCACGAUAUCCUUUGCAUGGCGGUUAGUGCCCUCAUUUCUGAUAUGGCGGUGCAACAGAGGUAUCUGUAUUAUGAUGCUCUAAGGCCUGUUUUUAACUUUCCUUUUCAUUUACCACUUUGCAGGAGGAUAUGGACAAGAAAAUCCAAGAACUUAGAGAUGAACUGGAGUAUGCAAAUCGAAAGUGCGAAGUCUACCGAGCUAACCUGCUUUCAGUUUUAAAAGACAUUGAGGAUCAUAAGCAACAAUUGUCAAUUAAAGUACAGAGCAUAAAGAUUAGUAUGAAGGGUAGUAUCUGAAGGUGCAGUAGAGUUUUACCAUGUGGUUUCUUUUGUAUUUUCUUCCCCUUUUCCUUUUCCUUUCCCUUCCCAAUCAUAUGAAAGUCCUAGUAUUUAAACUGUGAUGUGGAUGAGGUUGUGUUUUUUUUUUUACCUUUUUAGUGCUAUAGAGAAUUUAGAGAUUGUGAAUAACUUUGAAUUUAUGUUCUCUUGUACAGUGCACUUAUUAUCUUUAGAUCUAUACGAGGAAGCAAUGAUUUCUUCAAUUUUAGGCAGAUGCAUGACCAAAAGUUCUGUAUUAUAUUUCCGUUGGAUUAGUAAUGCUCUGUAUCCAUAAAAGUUCUUAGGUUUGCUGCAUGUGUUUUGAGGAUCAUGCAGGAAAGUCUUUGACAGUGAACUCAAAUAAUACACCUCGUCAACGAGAUCAUAGCACAACCUAAAGAGCUCGUACAUUCUAAACUACAAAAUGUAACGGCGGAGAAAACCCUACUACUGACUACCACCACCUAUAACACAAUGCCCUGAUGGUCCGCCGUCGCGGUAUACAUUUAAAGACCCGGAAUUUGGUAGUUUGAUACAGAGGUAGAAAAAAACAGACCCAUAAAAUUUAACCUUGCACGCUAUGUUCAUUCUUUCAAACUCAGCCUUGCGUUCUGCACCUUCACCGAAAGCUUUAACUUCUGUUCUUCCAUAUCUUUUAAAACAGCUAGCAAGUUUGCUCGGUACACUUCACAGCGUUGGUUGGUACCCUCCAACUCAGCAGUCAAUUCACGGAUUUUCUUUUGCUUCUCAUCCUGGGCAAGGAGAAUAAUAAAUUAGAACAAAUACUAAAUGGAAAUACUGCUUAAUGCAUACACAAUUACAGAAAAAGUAAAAUAACAGAUCAAUCUUGAGCAUCGAUCACAACCAUAAUGUUGUUCGAUACACGGCUGAUGCUGCCUUAAAAGCAACAUUCCUUUCAAUGAGUCUGACACAUACAUAAUGAUAAUAAGUAGAGUAUGAAAUACUGCAGUUACCAAGCAGAUCAUUUACCGACAAAAUAACAAAAUUACCAUAUCGUGGUAAGGCAAAUAAGGAAAAAGAAAAGAAAGAUCAAGGAUGCAUUAUUUUUCAAUUUUCCUCAUUUCCAGGCAUGCACUGAUUGCAACAAAUUGUCAGUGGAUUCAGAAACAAUAUGCAUAAACUGUCUUUUAACUAAGCAGAAGCUUCUAACUUUUCAGUUAUUAAAGAAGGAAAGACAAUAUAACAUUAGUCACCCUUCAAUAAAGGCAGUACUUUGACUUCUAAACUAUUUAUUUUGUACUUUGUAUCUUCCUAAAGUCAACAGGUGAAAUAUUUUAGGGUUUAGCUAAAAUUAAAUGUAGCACAAAUGUUACUAAGGGAUGUAAUUAACUGGUGGUAUAGGCUGAAAGAAAGCUUAACCAUAUCAAGUUACAAGCAGGAAGAAACUAACCACAGACUGCAAUGUUGCCGAUGAAUUAUCUUUAGCAACAUGAAGCUCUUGACUACUUCCAUUUGUCAGAGUUCCACCUUGUGUGCCUCCAGAGCCUUGAUUCUUCACAUCAGAAACUUUCUUAGCAGCUUCUUGUAGAGCAUCCAUUGCCACAUUAUAAAUGUGAAUAGAUUUUGCCCCUUCUUCAACAUAUUUGAUGGCUUCCUGGCGCAAGUUGUUAUAGCGAACGGUUAAAGACUCGCGAGAAUCGUUCGGCAAUUCAGAAGCGCCUUCAUCUAAUACAGCUCUGCUUUUGGCAUUAGUUGUCCAUCGUUUCAAUACAUAUUGAGAUGGAAGUGUGAGGACAUUUUUUGCUCUAAAAACUGCUAAUAUGUGUCGACAAAUGAUCCCAGAAUAUUCAAACAUCUGGCAGCUGCAAGUAGCUUUCAUCUCAAAAGAAUUGAAACAAACAGUGUGUGCUUUGUGCUCUUCCCCAAACUUAGCCACGCGAUAGGUGGUGAUGGUUCCUGAAUCGUCAAUUUUCGUUGCAGGAUUAGCAAGGGUCUCAACUAAUUCAUCUUGGAAUUUCAUGAAUAUUCUUCUAGUGUAGAGGCCAGCAGCUUGUUUUUCCAUAGGAGAAGGUGUCUUUAGAACUGGUGUAGUGUUAGUAGUGUCAUAGUCUGCUUUUAGUUCCUUUUCAUGCCAACUUGCUAAAGCCUUUUCGUAUUGUUUGAUCAGCAUUUGUAUGGUGGUUGAUGCACUCACAUAUCCAUCAAAGAACGAGUUUAAACCUCCACUUCCAUCAGUUACUGACAACUCUCCAAAAAAAGUGUCUCUCAAAUAAACCGUGACCCAUUGCUGUCGAGCAUUGUACAUCGACUGAAGCCAUUCAUUGUCCAUGACGUAGUAUCUUUGCAGAAGGGAUUGCCAAGAAGAUUCAAACUCAUCAAUUGUCUCAGUCUCAUUAAUGCACUUCUUAAAUUCAGUUUCAAACAUGGGAUGAGAGCGAUAGAUAUGAGCCAGUUUUUCUUGGGUUUCUCUUAGUAUGCCCUGCUUAGAAUACCGAUGGCGAGUCUCAGGAAGAAUUUGUGAUACAGCGGUCUGAAUGAAGUGAUCUGGAUCAGUUGUGAUAGAGAGAGGCUGUUUACCAGACAUUGCGCUAAGCCAAGUUUGGAAAAGCCAAAUGAAAGACGACUCAGAGUCAUUGAGAAUGAGAGCACAGCCGAACAAGACAGGCUGGCCAUGGUGAUUGAUUCCCGUGAAAGAGGCAAACGGGACCCUGUAACGGUGUGUCCUGUAUGAAGUAUCGAAAACAAGAGUAUCUCCAAAGUAAUUGUAAUUCAUCCUGGCAGUGGCAUCAGCCCAGAAUAUGGUUGCUCCUCCAGGUGAGUGAUCAGUGUCGGGUUGAGUUGCAUAAAAGAAAGCAGGAUUCUCAGAUUGCAUUCUUUUUAAAUAAUCCAAGACAUGAUGCUGGCCCCCACCCCCGAGGGACCUGGGUCUGCCACCACUCAUCUUCUAACCAAGUAGAAGAAAAAAUCGAUAAAUUACGGUGGAUGUGGCUGUUGUUGUGGUUGUAGGCAGCAAAGAAUAAUAAUAAUAAUAACAAAAAAAAAAAGAGUGAAAUGAAAACCUAACAUGGCAUUUCUUACAGGCCAGUUUCAGACAAAAGAAUUGGUACUACAAAAUUAACAACAAGACUAUUCCUUUCCAUUCUUUAAUAAACGAACAAAUAAUUAGUUAUAAAAACAAAGAAUUUAUAGGGUGGGCAUAGGCAGAGCGAGCUAGCUAACCUGGCCAGAAGUGGGUUUGAGAAUUGGAAACAGAAACUGAAAUCGAAGCGUCUUUUUUCGUUUUUUCCUUCUUCACUUCACUUUCUUGCUUAGUGUCGGAAUGCAAAUUCAAAGGCAAACGCAGGAGGAGCUCACUUUCUUGCUUAAUAUCACUUCUCUUCUUCUUUCUUGCAGCGCAGACCCGCAGUCGUUGCUAAUAGGAGGAUGGGCUUGGCAACGUUUCUCGCUGUCUGUCCACACCAUGGAUGCUUGCUUGGUUCUUACUUUUGCCCAUGUCAAGCUUGGGCUUGCAAAAUAUUAUAGCUAGGCUAGCUCAGAGAUACCUCGAAUGGAAGCCUGGUAAAUUAACUCUAACCUUAGGCCUGGGUUUGUGCUGGAAUCCGAGAAAUGGCUCUUCCACUUAUCCUAAUUUAAUUAAUUAAAACAUUUAAUCUUUUUUUUGUGUGUGUUUGUGCAAACGUUUGGAAUUUUUUAUUUCAGCAUAUCAAUUAUUAUUUGAACGUGUGAAUUUUUUUUCUUCUAAUCAAGUGUAAUUUGCUCCCAUCCAAUAUGUAUUUAUAUUUUUAUUUCUUUAUUUGAGUGUUUGUACUUUUAAGAAUUUAUUAAUGUAUUAAUUUCAAGAUCUACUAUAUUUGACCAAAAUAACUACAAUUAAAAUAAUAAAAUAUUUUAAUAAUUUAUUUAAAUUAAAAAAGCAAUAAAAGACAUAAUUAAUUAACUAGGUAAGAAAAUUAAAAAGAAUAAAAUAACUAAAGAAGAUUCAGGAUUUUGAUGAUGUUUAGUAUGGAUACACAUAUUGAUAAAUGAGAUCAAAUAAUUUAUUAAUAAAUUACAAUAUGUGUAAAUCAUAUAAAAGAAAAUCAAAUCUGUUGCAUAAUGAAUUUGUGUUUAAUUAAGAUUGUUAAUUUUGUGAAAAUAAUUAAUUUUUUUCCUUUUACAAUAUGUGGUAGAGAUUUACUUUUUUUUUAUAUUAACGUGAGUGUCUGGACCAGUUUGCGUACACCUCGAUUAAUCCCACGAGCCCUGAAGUUAACGACUAUGUAAAUUUCUAGUGACCAUCAUAUUAGCAACCACAUAGCUCAAACCUGAAAUCACAGGGAAAUCAAAUCACUUAGUUCCAAGUUUUUACUACUAGGCCACCUACUAGAUGGUUUGAUAGAGAUUUACUUGGUUUGUGAGAAAGUGUAUGGAAUUUAGUAAUUUAUCUUUUAAUCAUCUUUAUUUUUAACCUUUCAAAUGGUUGUUGUUAUUAAUUUAUAAUUUAUUUAACUCAAUCAUAUAUAGAGAUAUAAUAAUACGAAAUGGAGAUUUGUUAGCUUUUAAAAUUAAAAAAUAAAACUCAAUUGAUAAAUAUUUUUUUAAAAGUACAAACACUCAAAUAAAAAAAAAAAUACACACACCCAAAUAAGAAAAUAUACAGAUAUAAUUAAUUAAAAAUAAAAUAGAAUGUUCAUGGAUUUGUGGUUGACAAGUUAACAUUAUGCUACAUGUCAAUUUAAUGACCAUAUGUCAGCAUAUAUAUAUAUAUAUAUAUAUAUGUAUAUAUAUAUAUGUAUGUAUGUAAUAGAAUCUAACAAAAACGCUUGCUUAAUUAGAAAGCAAAAAAUUAAAUGUUUUGUUAAUAAAUAAAAAUAAAAAACACUUUGUUACAUUUAAAUAAAUAAAAAAGAGUCGAAAUAUCAUUAGCCCAUAUAUAAACAAAAAACAACAUGUUUUGUUAAUUUUUCACAAUUUCCUUUGCCGUGUCUGCUUUGUUACAGAGAGCACAGCACAGUGCAGUACUCCGAUCCCCUUUAAACAGGCAGCGAUCGAGCUAGCGACUUGCCACCAAAAUCAGCACUUAAAAGUUACAAUUUACAUGAAUGCAUUACAAUUUACAUGCAUGCAUGCAUGCUGAUGCUCCACAAUGUGUAAGGGAAAGCAAUACACAUAGCUAGCAGGCCUGGAUCGAUGAUCAGUAGUCACGAUGCUUGAUCUGUCUUCCUAGUCACGAUUGUUUAAUUUAAUUAUUUGCUUUUGCUAUCUCGCCCUCGCAGAAAGCAGCAACAUUCAAGGGUCAAAAGAACUAAAGAAGAAAUAAAAAUGAAAAGCUGAAGGUGAAAUCCUGCUUACGUACCUUAAUUUGUGCAUGCUGAUGAGUCAGUUUGUGAACGAUGCCUGCAGAGUCUCAAUGAAAUUGAGAACUGGGGAGGAAAAUACUGGCGCCAUGGCACUGUGGCCUACGUACCUCUACUGCUAAUCUUUUUCUUCAUGAAAUGCAAUAUUUGAAUUAGCAAAGUGUGAAGGCUAAGGUAAAGGCCAAGGGACCCUCGAAAUAGGAGAAGCUACUAGAACUCACACUUUUCCUGUAUUUAUCAGCCUGCCUGCAUCGCUUUAUCUUAUCAAUGAGGACAGCAUAGAUUUUCUUUAGAAUAUAAUCUGCAGGUGUACGUACUUGGGUGUCACCUGAAUCUUUCAGACAACCUUCUUUUCUGCCCCCCCCCCCCCCCCUUUUUUUUUUGCACUGCACGGAAAAUCUACACACACUAGAUUUCUGGCGUACUCUCCGCGGCGGGCCGGCCAGAUUUUUUUCUUGACAUAAAAAAACAAAUGUUCUGAGAGAGAAGAAGAAAAAAUGUUCAAGGGGCAAUUCCAUCAGUGUGAAGAAAAAAUGUUCAAGGGGCAAUUCCAUCAGUGUUUUAAGUUUUGGUGAACAAUAAUUUUCUUAGUAGAUUUGGUUUUCUUUUUUUAAUUUUAAUAAAUGUUCUGCUGAUUAAUUAAUUAAUUAUUAGCAACACCCUAAAAUCUUUCUAGCUAUAGGAUUCCAUCAUGUAUGCAUAUAUUUAUUAAUAUCGGUCUAAUAUUCCAUAGAUAUAAUGAUCAAUCCUUGAGUUUUAAACUGAAUCAAGUCAAUAACUUCACUGCCACAAGAGAAUGUUAAAAUUCAUUUCUUUCUACGAGGCAUUAAUUGACCAUAGUAUAUGACCUCCGGUCCCCCUCCCCUCCUUGGCGCUUUUUGGCAAUAGAUUCCGGCCAGCUCCUCGACAUGAGCUUAUAUAAUUUGUUGUAUAAACUACUACACCCAAGUUAUUCUCUACUUGUGGAACUUAAGCAAAGUAUCAACCUGUGAUCUAUCUAGAUUUCAAUUAGACUGUAGAAAUAUUAUUCCAUUAUUUUCAUCUUUUUUAAAAGUUUAAAGAAGCAGCCUGUAUAUAGCCUUCUAACGUGUAUAUAUAUAUAUAUAUAUAGACAAUCACCACUUCCUUCUUAACAGAAAAGGUCAAGAAGGGGGAUGCUAUUAGUUAAAGAAAUCCCAUGAAGAUUAGUGACAGAGAAAUCAGCCAUCCCAUCCACCCACAACACAAGCUAAAACUUGAAUACACAGAAAUCCCAUUCACUUGUGAUGGUUGCAAGGAAGCUGGCAUUGGUCUAAAAUACAGUUGCCGCCAGAAAUAUUGCAAUGAUCAAUUUGACCUUCACAAGGUAUGUGCUGUGGCGCCUCCUAUCAUCAACAAUUCCUUUUACAAAGAAUGCGUUUUCGAAUUUCACCAUCACCCUCCAGGUGAGGAGAAGAGGGUAUGCGAUGCAUGUAGAAAUGAAGUUCUAGGCUUUGUCUACCACUGCAAGCGAUGUGGAUUUGAUCUCCACCCUUGUUGUGCAAACCUCCCUCAAGUUCUAGACGAUGGUGAGCACAAUCUUUACCUGUGUCACAAGCUCUCCGGGGCAUGUCAUCGAUGUGGGGGCAAAGGACCAGGGUGGUCUUACAGGUCUCGCUGCAAAACGUAUAAUCUUCAUCUGUCAUGUGUCAAGGAGUUGCUGGUGGAGAGCUGGGAAGCCAUGUAUCUCAAAGUGGAUCAGAACAAGGUCAGAGAGAUACAGACUAGGAUCCCAAGCCUCAAGGUGACACUGGCAAACCAUCAUGGAGGAGCUAGAGGUGGAAAGGUUAGGAAGUGCUGUCAGAUGGCUGGUGGUGCCAUUCGCCUUAUUGUCUCAGCUAUCCUGGGAGAUCCUACAGCUAUAAUCGCUGCAGUCGUUGGGGGUUUCAUAUCCAAGUAAUUCAAGCAUAUAUGGCUGAGCAAAAAAAGUAGACCAAUAUUUAUAUAUACCAUUGCUCAUGAAUACUAUCUAGUUUACACUCCAAUAUGUUAAUCACUGUUCUUUGCUAAUACUCAUAAUUAAUGCUCGUGUGUUUGGUUUGUUACCCUUAAUUACCUGUCUGUACUGUGUGAUAUAUAUACACUUUCUGUGUGAAAUUUGAAAUUUCCUUCCCCCCCUUCUUCUAGAAAAGUAUAUCCAUUAUAAAUCUAAAUCUAUAUAAUGUAUACACAUGGGUGCCAGGAAUUUUUUCUACCUGGGCUACAGUAAAUACAUAUAAAUUUUUUUUCAAGAUCAAUUAUAUAUAUAUAUAUAUAACAAUAAAGUUUCAAUCCAAAUAAAUAACAUAAAAAUAUAAAUUAAAAAAUAAAAUUUAAAGUACAUAAAAUUAAAAAAAAAAUGAUAGACAUAUUAUGAAAAUUUUAUGAUGAAUCACAUCAAUAUGAUAAUACUCUAGCUGAGAUCUCAAAUCAUACAUCUUUUGGAUAAAAUUUCUUAGUAAACUUGUAAAUAACAUCAACUUUAAAUAAUUAAAAGUUGUUUUUAGGUUCUAAAGCAGAGCUAAGUGCAGGAAUUUCAUUAUCUCAUCAUUGAAUCUAAAAUUUAAUUCUUUUGAAAAUCGAUUAUUGAGUUAAAUAUAUCAUAAUGAUAAUGUUAGUAAACUAUCACUGAUCCUUAUUGCUGAUAUGAACAACCUAUAGCCUUUUUAUACGAAGUAUUCAUAUGUGGUAUGUCAAUCUCAUCAUAUCGUAUGCAAAUCAAUUGCACAUGUGCAAUGAGAAGAUCAAAUUUGACAUCUCUCAAAGUUCAAAGCAAUGCUUUAGUAGUUGAUAUAAGAUCCAUUAUAUUUAAGAUGUCAAGAGAUUUUUGUUGCAAAGCUCAACAAAGUAAAUUAAUAAUUUUAUUAUUUUAUGCAUCACAUAUAAGAUAAAUAUAAAUUUAAAAGAUUUCAUCACAACAAACAACCACAAACUUCUCCACGUAUAGAGUUAGAAUCUUUCUUGAACCAUACUUUGAAGCAUAAAUUGCACCAUAUAUAUCUAUUAAGUUACAAAUAUAAUCAAAAUGAGAGCUUCACUGAGUAGUUCCACUUCGAUGUAAAUUAUUAAUUUGAUUAACCCCUCUAUUAGUCUCAUGUUUUGCAUUAGCUAAAACUCUAAUUUACAAAGACAUGUACUGAAUCUGAUUGUCUCACUACUAAUAAGUUAUUUGUGUUUAGAAUUUAUGUGGUUUUUAGUAAAAGAGAAAGAUAGUUUUUUAUUGAGUUUUGGGUUAUUGGAAAGUUUAUGUGUUCGUCUGACCAAUUACUUAAAAUCAAGGUGGAUGGGUUAUUGAAUUUUUUAUAAUUUUUUUUUUUUUACCUAGGCUAUAGCACAUCAUAGCCUCCUUCACUCAUCCGUCCUUGUGUAUACAUCUCUAUAAAUAUUCUAAAUAUUUAUAAGAUAUUUAUUUAAUAUAUAUAUAUAUUAAUAAUCUCUACAAGAGAUUUGUAACAUCUCAUCUUUCUAAAUUUUAUCUCUCUAGAUAAUAUAAGUUUUAAAAAUACAAGUAUAGUAUAAAACUUACAUAAAUAAAAUUUAAAAAAUAUUUAAGUUUAUAGAAUAUUUAUUCUUAUCCCUCAUUUAAAUAAAUACUAUAUUUACUUAAAUUUUAAAGUGUUUUUCUUACCGUUAUCCGCAAAUGAAAAAUGCUCCCAAUCUUUCUACAGCCUCAUCGCACGGCCGUCUUUCUGCAGCCUCAUCGCACAUAAUUUUCAAGACGCAAUUGAGGAAUGGAAAUUUCACGCAGAAAAUGUAUACAAACAUAUUGUAAACACACACGCAAAUGAAUGCGCUACGGUCCAAAUAAUAAAAAUAAAAUAUCCUUUCCUCUUGUCUGGAAGGUUAUUACGAGGGUAAUCGUGGUUUUUGCAUGCCUUGUAUGCAUUAUCAUGGAGAGCAAAAGUCAAACGGGAUUCCUUCUUCAAAAUCUUAGCUAGGACCUUCCGCGUAGCGUAUUGGCAUGCCCUGCACAGAAACUUCAAUGAAAUGAACAGAAUGACAGGAUGCGAUGUUUCUCCUCCUCUCUGCAGGCAUGAAAUUGUUGACUCUUAAUUACAUGCCAAGUUGCUUCACCUCUGAAACUUAAACUGCUGCUAGACGGUCAAACGGGAUUAUCCCAAUAUUCCUUGGACAUCAAACAAAAGAAGGAAAUGCUUUAUCUGGGCAAUCGACGAUCUCCCAAUUUCAAAGUGAUGACCGUAAACACGGGCAGACCUUAACGACAAGAAGCAGUCAACCAUCCCCUGUUGUAAUCUCCCUGUAAUUUCUCCAUAUUCAUUUCCAAACUGGCUUCUAUAUGUGUGUGUGUAUGCAAGAGUGAAGAAAGUAAUUAAAAUUCUCAUCUCAUCCCCGUCUUUCUUUCGAACGAAUCGUACGUACAGCUAGCUAGCUACAACAAAUGGCUGCCCAAAAUCCAUAUUCGAUCAUCGCUCUCCUCAUUAUUAUGUUAUUCAACCUUGCACAUCUAGCUUUCACAGACGACAUGUCAUCAUUCAAUUUUGACAGAUUUGUUGAUGAUGAUCAUAAGAAGCUCCUGAGUUUCAGAGGCAAUUCAUCCAUCUAUCUUGAAGCUCUACAACUUACUCCUGAGACCCCCAAUGAUGCUCAUAGUUGGAAACAAAAAAAUGCAUCUGGCCGCAUCAUGUAUCAUAAACCUUUCAGGUUCUGGAUCGGUGAUGGUGGGGACGAGUACAGAUUAGCCUCCUUCAACACCACCUUUGUCAUUAACAUUUACAGAGAAAGAGACUGGGAGGCUGGUAGUGGCCUGGCUUUUCUUAUAGCUCCAAAUGCUAGCAUACCCGAAGCAAGUUACGGGCAAUAUCUAGGCCUGACCAAUGCCUCCACUGAUGGUAACACUGCAAACCACUUUGUGGCUAUAGAGUUUGACACGGAAAAGCAAGAUUACAUCGAAGAUCCAGAUCAUAACCAUAUCGGGUUCAAUAUCAACUCCAUUCGGUCAAAAAAUGCCAUCCCUCUAGACAAAUAUAACAUCACACUCUCUCCUGAUCCACCAGGAGUUAACUACACUGUUUGGGUUGAUUAUAACGGCACCUCCAAAUUGAUGCAGGUGUACAUGGUGAAAGAAGGAAAUCAAAAGCCUGGAGAGCCUCUCUUGAACGAGACCAUAGACCUCAAAGAGUACCUGAAACAAGAAUCCUACUUUGGUUUUGCUGCUUCCACUGGUGAUCCACGGAUUGAAUUAAACUGUGUGCUGAAAUGGAGCUUACAGAUAAAUAAUCAACCCGAUGAGGAAAAUGAUGAGAAAUGGUGGAAGAUUGGUGCUGGGGUUUGUGUCUCAGUAGUGAUGAUAAUCUUUAUAUUUGUGGUAUGUAGAGUUGUUUUUGUGAGGAAAAAGAGAUCAAAGGCAAGUCUAGAGGAGGCCACAGAGUUUGGUACUUACAUCUUGAAAUGGUUGCCUGGGAUGCCAAGAGAGUUCAAGUACAAGGAGUUGAAGAAGGCUACCAGCAAUUUCCAUGAAAGUAUGAAGCUCGGGGAAGGAGGAUUUGGGAUCGUUUAUAAAGGCGUCCUACUCCUCAAUGAUAAGGCUGAUGAUGGUACUACUACUACUACGACUACUGAAAUUGCUGUCAAGAAAUUCUCCAGAGACAGCAUAAAAGGCAAAGAUGAUUUCUUGGCCGAGCUAACCAUCAUUCAUCAUCUUCGCCACAAAAAUCUCGUCCGCUUAGUGGGUAAUUAUCGAAUAUUUUGGUUCUUAUUCUUUCUUUUGUCUAAUCAUUUUGCAUAAAAUUUAAGUCCAUGAUCUCGUUCAUUGGAUAAGCACUUGGCUAUAUGAAUCAUUUAAUUUGAAUGGACCACCAGAUAUUUCGAUUGCAUAUUAAUUGAUUGCAUUGUCAAAUAUGUUUAUAUAAUAGUGGGGGGGCCGUUGAGUAAACAAGCAACAGUAGUCAAACCCACAUGCUUCCCUCUUGCAAUUCCUUGCUUCAAAUUUCCUUUUUUUUCCUAAUUUUCUUCUGUUCAUAGGUCACACAGUACUAUACAUAUACUAGGUUUAGAAAAAUAAGAAUUAGUUAAGUGUUAUGUUGACAUAGUAAAGCAUGAAAGGAAAGAUAUAUCGCUGCCAUUAAUAUUUCACAGGCAAGGCAAGGCAUUGACCUUGUCCUAUGAUUUUAAAUUAAUGUUGUAUCUCAUCUUGUUUAGCAUUAGUAUGCAAUUAGCAGCAAAUCUGUCUUUCUUUAGAAAAACAAACUACAGCAAGAACGACUUUAUAACCUCUGUCUUUGUUCAGGGUGGUGCUAUGAGAAAGGAAAGCUUCUAUUAGUUUAUGAUUUCAUGCCAAAUGGCAGCCUGGAGAAACACCUACAGAAGGGUCCAGAGCAGGACACUCUAAAUUGGAAUCGUCGCUACAGGAUACUUGUAGGGGUUGCAUCGGCAUUACAUUACCUGCACAAUGAGUAUGACAAGAAAGUUGUCCACAGAGACCUCAAAACCAGCAAUAUCCUACUUGAUGCGGACUUUAAUUCCCGCCUAGGUGACUUUGGCCUUGCUCGCGCCUUGGAAAAUGAGAAGAAUUCAUAUAAUGAGCUUGGGCUAGGUGGCGUUCCCGGUACCAUGGGUUAUGUUGCUCCAGAAUGUUUCCACACGGGCAGGGCUACCCCUGAAUCUGACGUGUUUGGUUUUGGGGUGGUGGUUCUUGAGGUUGUGUGUGGUAAAGGUCCAGGGACAAAGAUCCGUCACAACCAGCAUCUUUAUUCUAUGGUUGAUUGGGUCUGGACCUUACAUCGUGAGGGACGCAUACUAGAAGCCGUAGAUGAAAACCUCGGUAACGAUUUUGUGCACGACGAGGCUAAUAGACUUUUACUUCUGGGAUUGGCUUGUUCUCAUCCUAUCGACAGUGAAAGGCCUAAAACAGAGACCAUAAUCCAGAUCGUAUCAGGAACUUUGCCUCCGCCUCACGUACCUCCAUUCAAGCCAGUCUUCACUUGGCCUAGCAUGAGCACCACUGACAGCACAACUGGUUCGCUCUCCAGCAUGACAUCAUCUUCUCGAAGUUACGCCAGAACACAAAGUGUAAUCAAAUUGCGGAGGACCACGUCAAGUCUCCAAGUUUAGAUCCUAAUCUUUGAGCUUCCGUAUUCUUGGGAAAGCUACAAAGUUUCUGCUUAAGGUAGCAGGCCGUCCUAGUUUUCCAGAGAUCAUGCUUCUUAUUGAUCUAGUUUUUGUAAUUUUUGCGUCUUACAUUACUGCACUAGAUUUUCAUUUUCUAACAAUCACCCUACAGUCCUGUUGAUCUAUACUUGUUCUUAUAAUAAUUAGGAAUCAAAACACUGUAAUCACGUGCCUGAUUUCCAGGAACUGUUGUUUGUCGUAGUUUAAUAGCCGCCAUUUCAAACAUAGUAAAGAGAGCAAUAAGAUUGCAGUACAUCACGUCCAUAUCAGUUAGCAAGCAUCUUGUGAUCGAUGUGCCAGAAUUGAUUAACAUUGAUAAUGCUGGAUCAGAUCAUUAACAAAUAUACGUCCUGUUUUAGUAAAUUUCAAACGAAAGGAAAAAAAAAAUCGAGUUCCCAUUGAUCUGCAUCCUCGUAAGAGUUGAAUUCGGUCUAAAGAUGAAGUUCACCUAGAGUGCAAGAAGAAACAAAUAUCUCAAGCAGAUCCUUGAAGCAAGGCAUACUUCAUCAGGAACUUCUUUUGAUUACAACCUAGCAUAUCGCUCAAGCUACAAUCUAGUUUCCUCUGUUUCAAAAGUUUGUGCCUUGACUCCAAGGUCUUCUUCAAACCAUGCUGAAAGAAGCUGGGGUAAUCAACAACUUCAUCUAUUUGCCUUCCCAUUACUUCCACCAAGAACUUGAUACGAGGUUCCAGUGAAUUCUUGACACUCUUGAUCAAAAUAGGGGGAUAACCAGUCACCAAAGCUGCUAUUUGUCUAUCAUUAAAUCCACAUCUCCUUAGAUAUGCAAAAUUGGGUUUCAGAAUCUUGUUGACAUCUCUACAAAGAACUUCAGGGAAGUUCAUGACCACUGUUCGAAGAUCCAGCUCUGUCAGUCCAACUGACUUGAGAAACUCUGAAGUGGGGCGUAGCCUCUUUUCAACGCUAUAACCUGUUAUAAAGGGGUGUUUCACCAAGACUUUACCAAUCAUCCCAUCUUUGGUAAGGCCAAGAGAUGCGAGAAAAUCAACAAUUUCUUUGAGCUUGGAAUCAAUGCUGUAGCUGACGAGCCUUGGGUUGAGCAAUAAAAUCCUGCCGAGUUGCUUUUCAGGGACCCCUAUUGCCUGAAAGAAUGCCAAAAGGGGGCAGAGCUUCUCUUCAACACUAUGAGACAGUAUGUGAGGGAACUUGGUGAUGGCGGAAGCAACUUCACGAGGUUUAGAACCGAGGGUAGCCAGACACUCAACCAUGGGGAUGAGCUUCUCAUUGAGACCAAGAGUUAGUAUUUUGGGACACUUUGAAAUAAUUGAAGGGAGCUUUCUCUCUUGAAUGCCAAUGGUUUUCAGGUAAGCCCAGUUUUCAGAUGCCCUAUCCCUCUGGGUGUCUUGCAGGCGCUUGCACUUUCGGAACAUUUCAUGGAUGGUGUUGUCAUCAAAACCUCUAUCCCUGAAGAACCAGAGGAGGCUGCUAUUACCGUUUUGAGCGGUGACCAUUUCCAUAUCGGCUGAGAAGAAAAGAAGCGAUUGUAAUUAUUAUAAGAGUAUAGUAGAGGGGCGAGAAAACAGAGAGAAGGGGAAAUGAAUUAGAAUAUCAAGGGAUGAAGAGAACGUUAGGAGAGAUGAGCAAAGGACUCGAAUGGUGCAGUGUGGAAGGCCGUGCGGGGGUUGAAGAUUAACUGAAGAGCCUGGAUUGUGCUGGCCUCGCCGAGGCUGGUAGUUUUAGCAUUGCAAUGCAACAAACAUGGUAAGUAAUAGCAAUUACUAAAAGUUUAAAGCAUCUGAUAUGAGAAUGGUGUAUGUAUCGAUUAUCCUUUUGGGUGCGUGGUUUUAAGAUUACUUUACGUUAUUUACUUUAUAACAGGUCAAUUGCAGUUGAAUUGAAACAAAGAGAAGGCAGAUAAGCGAUGUUUUAAGAGGAAAGAACCAAGUAAUUCAUAAGAAAUGGAUGGUGUCAGACAGCUCUCUGACUGUCGAUGAACACCGCAAUAACUUAAGAGAAUUUAAGCCAAGGAUGAUGAAAUAAGUAAAAUAACGAAUUCCCAUUCCAAUUCCAUUUCGCAGCACUACAUCUGAAUAAUAAAUCAAAUAAAAAGAAAAGAAAAUAAUAUGAAGAUGAAGACGAGAGAGCGGCCUGACCUUGAAAGCAGGACAGCAGGACACGAGCAAGUUUAUCACUCAAACUGUGAGUGUGUGAGGGGAGGGGAGGGGAGCAGCGCAGCGCAGCUUUUGAUUUCCCUUAAAAAAUAGUAAUUCCUGAGCUUGCACUUGCCUUAUCUUCUUCUUCUGCGACUGUUUCUGGAACAGUAGUAGCUCGUAUUUCUAUUCCAGCCAACCUGUAGUCCGCUACUACUACUCUACUAGUAGCAGAACCGGCCCGGCCCGGCCCAGCCCAAGGAUUAGGAUUAGGAUUAGGAAAGUACAGCAAUAGCCUUGCAGUUCCUAUGGAAAUACCAAUUUCGCCUCCUCGCCUCUUAUCUGGUUCGUUUUGUAAUGUUCGUUGUCAAAAACCCUAAAAAUAAAAUUAAAACCCCCCCCCUCUCUCUCUGUCUCUCUUCAAAAUCAAAUCGAAUCAAUCAAUCCAUCCGGGAAAUGGCAUCAUCAUCAUCAUCUCAAUUUCGAGUCUUGAAGCUACAUUCUCACUCACGCAUCUCUCUGUCACAAAUUCUGCGUCGUUUCAGCAGCUCCAUUAAAGGAUCAACUGCUGGUGCUGGUUUCAAUUUCGAUGAUGAAAAAGAGAGGAGAUUGCAGAACCAGAACCCUCCGGAACCCAUACCGAAUAGGCCCUUAAGAGGUGAGAGACCUAACCCUAACAGUAAUCAUAGCUCUAGCAAUAGAGGAGGGGGAGGACCUAACCUUAACAGUGAUCAUAGCUCUAGCAAUAGAGGAGGAAGAGGACCUAAACCUAACUUUAACAACAACACUAACAGACCCGCCCGCCCUCAACCAUCUCACCAUCCCUCCACAACCUCUCCUUUUAAUCUUCAGCCCCAGACCCAAACUCAUGAUUUUAAUCGUAUCUCUGAUGAUGCUUUUCUUGAUAAAUUCAAGCUUCAUCCUGACCAUAACAACAACGUCAACAAGGAUGCUGCCGCUGCUGAUACUAAGGCUGCUGCUGCUCCUCCUCCUCCCAAAAAUGAACAAGCAAGCAGCGCCUCCACUUCCGAGCCCUCACAGGAUGCUGAACAAAUCUUCAACAAGAUGAAGGAAACUGGGCUCAUCCCCAAUGCUGUCGCCAUGCUUGAUGGCCUUUGCAAAGAUGGCCUUGUCCAGGAAGCCUUGAAACUCUUCGGCACUAUGCGCGAGAAAGGCACCAUCCCUGAAGUUGUUAUUUACACUGCUGUUGUUGAUGGCUUUUGCAAAGCCCACAAGUUGGAUGAUGCCAAGAGGAUUUUCAGGAAAAUGCAGUCCAAUGGCAUCACUCCUAAUGCUUUCAGCUACGCUGUAUUGAUUCAGGGACUCUCUAAAUGUAACCUCUUUGAUGAUGCUAUCGACUUCUGUUUUGAAAUGCUGGAGCUCGGUCACUCUCCCAAUGUUACCACCUUUGUUGGAUUGAUUGAUGGCUUGUGUAGGGAAAAGGGAGUCGAAGAAGCCAGGACUGUUAUUGGAACAUUGCGCCAAAAGGGAUUCCAUGUUCAUGACAAAGCCGUUAGAGACUUUUUGGACAAGAACAAACCACUUUCUUCCUCUGUUUGGGAUGCUAUUUUUGGGAAGAAACCUUCACACAAACCUUUUUGACUUUUCUUUGUGCUAGGAUAAUGCUUUGUAAGUCUUCUUUUCUAAUUGUCUUCCUCUACUCUGUAUUUUUGGCUCUCGCCUAGGCGUUUCAGGCGAGGCGAGGCGAGGCACAAAGCCUUUAUUAGCCUCAGGCGUUGGAUUUCAAUGAAGUGAAGCCUAGGCGAGCGCCUAAGGCAUUAAGGCUAGUAUCUGCUUGAAGUUUUUCUUUUUCGGUAGGAUUUUUUUUAAACUUAUUUAUGUUUUGAUCUAUUUAUCUAUUUUUUUACUUGAUAUUUAAUUUUGUUUUUUAAUCGAUAUGGCUUACUACUUUAAAAUAUUAUUUUUGGUUAUAAGAGUGAAAAAUAUAACUUUAUAUGAUUAUAUUAUAAUAUUUUAUAUUUUCUUGAUCUAAUCUCAACUACUAGUAAGAUAUAUAUUUUAGAUUUAUAUAAUAUAAUAUAAUAUAAUAUUAUUAUUAUUUUAAUUUAUAGCAUAUCUAAUGCAUUCUGUACUUGUGAUAAUCACUUGCAAACAAAGCAACCUCAAUAAUUUGUACAGAAAAGAUUAAGAAUACAAGAAAAAAGGAAAUCUCAAAAUUUUAUUACAAAUGCAGAAUUAUAUGGAUAAAUAAUAAGUAGUUUCACACCACUUAGGGAAUCUCUUUCACAAAUCUGACCCUUCACCAUUCAAAAUAAUGAUUUAGGGGUACCAUACAAUCAUGAAAAGCAUCAUAAUCGAACUUCCCAUUAAAGUCACAUACUUUCACCUUUAUUCUUUUAGUGAGUUCAUCCAAAACUCUCCCAUUUUCAAAGUUCAUCCCCGCCCAAAUGUUCUUCCUCUUUAUCUUCAUCUCCUCCCCCAUCUUCUAUCUGAUUUUUCCCUUAUUUGACCCUCCAAACAUUUCUAUGGUUCGCAAAGUACGAGUAACAAGUUGCGUCUGUUGUUGUUACUGGUAAAAACAUGGAGGCAUGGUCAUUUUGUGGUGAUGUUUAUUGUGGAGGAUUCAGGUUAGGAAGGAGCAGGAUCCUGCAAUCCUUUGUUUCUAGGAGUGUCCACUCUGAGUAUCUGGCAUAAGAAGAACAAAGAAUUCGCAACCUGCUUUGAUACCAAAUAAUGCCAGCAACAUUGUGGACUCGUGAUAAUCACUUGCAAACAAAGCAAUCUCAACAAUUUGUACAGAAAAGAUUAAAGGUUUAAUUUUAUCACCACCUCCGCUAAUGGAAUUACAAAUCUCUAACAAAUAGUUUUACAAUUAACUGUCACUUGAUAAUUGAAAUAGCUUUUGACCAUUAUAUUAACAAUUACAAAUCUCUAACAAAUAGUUUCAAGAAUUUGUGAUUAAUGCUGGCUUGUACUUUGGGGUGGGUAAUGUUAGUUCAUGAACUUGUUGUAAGCCAUAAAUUUUGACCAUGUGGUAUGGAUUCAUGAUAUAAAUUUGUUGAACGACGAAGUCGAGAAACCAAAUGAGUCUGUACAUGCAAAAGACAGUACCUAUUCCGAUACCUCUUAACUCGUUACUCUGCAGAGGUAAGGUGAAAAGACAAGAGUAUACUGGAGCGGAUCCUGAAGGCUGUGCAUGCAAAAGAUCAUCUUGCAAGACUUCUAAUUGUUAGUGUUUUCCUUUGGGGGUUUAUUGCAGCAAUCCCAACAGAACUUGCAAGUGCUAUGAUGAAAAAAAAAGUUUGAAUAGACGAAAGCAUGGAGUUGCAGAGAAGAUGGUCCCGAGGGCUGUACAUGCACCAAAGGCUGGAGUUGCAAGACUCUAAAAUGGGAAUGUGUUGGAUACAAGGUCGAUGGCAACAAGAGUGAUUUAUGCAUACACAGAAGAAGCAUAGAGCGCCAAGAUGAUUCGUGCUUGAAUGUACAGAAGCAUAGAGUUGCAGAGCCUGCAGGUGAGGAUGAAAUUUGGACUUUAAAAUCACAAGUUUGUUAUAAAACUGAGUUAAAAUCUUGAUUUAAUCAGAAGUUAUAAUCCUUUAACUUUGGACUUAUGGGUUAUAAUAGAAGAGAUUAGGGAAUUGGAGGAGGAAAAUGCUUGUUUUUAAUUGUAAUAAUGAGCAGUCUGAUGCAUCUGCCACCUUAUUUCAUCGGCCAAAUUCUUAAUUCUUAUAAAAUCUUGUAAGAGAUUUGGUCGGCCUUGUUUAUCUUUUUCUAUCCGCUUCACGUCAAACAGGUCCUUCGGCUUCGGCCAUCUCCCCUUUCCAUGUUAUAGACUCCCAAAAAAAUAAAAAAAUCCAUAUUAUAAUGCUGAUUGGGUUGAGUCCAUCUAUUGACUAACGAAACUCUUAUUCAAAAUAAAAAAUAAAAACUCAACAAACAUUAUUUAAAAAAUUGAAUUUGAUUUCGAAUAACAAUGUUUCUAAGAAUUAAAGAUUGUCUUUUCCUAUAAUUUCAGGUUCGAGUCAUGUGAUUGUUAAUAUAAUGAUAAUUAAAAACUUAUACGGUCGUUAACUUCAGAGUCCGUGAAAUUAGUCGAGGUGCGCGUAAGCUGGCCCGAGCACCUGUAUUAAUAAUAAAAAAAAACCAUUUUGCAUGUUCUUUUACAUUGACUUCUUCGUUUUUUUCUUUUUUAAAAAAAUUACAUUGAUGUAUGUUACUUAAUCUUGUGAGUCUGACUUUUAUAUAAAUAGAAACAAAAUAAAUAGUAAGAGUCGAGGAGCCUAUUACGGAGCAGUUUUGGGUUUGGCACAGCUUUUAUCAGCUAUAAAAUAUCAUUUCUAAGAUAAGAACCAAGUCUUAGGAGAGUCACGAUGAGUUGUUUUUGCUGUUAAAAAUUAUUUUUAAUUUUUUUAUUUCAAAUUAGUUUUUUUAUAUUUUUAAAUUAUUUUAAUAUAUUGAUAUAAAAAAUAAAACUAAAAUAUUAUUUUAAAAAACAACAAUUAUUACCAUCACCAUGUAAAAUGAAAUGAUUUGAAAAAUAUCAAUUAUAUAUUCAUGAAAGGGUUAUUUGUUAACAUGCAGCCAAGAGAGAAGGUUAUAAUAAUAAUAAUUAAUUAAUUAAAAUCACGAGAAGCGCAGUGGCGUUAAAUAAUUGAAGACCUGGCAGAAUGUGGGGUCGGCGCCGGCCCAUCAACCCCGCCGUAUUCAGGACAUAAGUUGCGACACACUCACUUAUGCAAUCUAAUGUACACUGUAUGCAUGUGAUGACGUGUGGACUUUUAAUUUAUUUUUCAUUCUCCUUGCCAAUUAUCAAUAUUAAUUAAUAAACAAAUAGAAGAAUCGACACUCUCCAACUUCCGGAAGUUAAGAGUCUUCAUUCUAAAUAACUAAAUAAAUUAUCACCAUUGACUCUCUCUCUCUCUCUCUCUCUCUCUCUCUCUCUCUCGCAGCCGGUUGUUCUGCCUAUAUAUACUGAAUGGAUCUCUUCCCUGCAGAUAUAGACUCUGAUAAUCAGCAACACAUACACAAAGCCAAUCAAUCAAGAGGAGGAGAAAAAAGAGCAGCCGUCGAGUUAUCUAGCCAAGGGCAACGAUAUGUUUUCAGUACUGAUGUGUUCUCACCAGUCUUCAGGUAUAUGCAUGGCGACGAUUAUAUUUUACACGUGCAUUCUUAUCCCGCUCCGUCAAAUUAAACAGACUCUAUAUAGUAUCAUAGUACUACUCACUAGUAGCAGUAGCAGGCUUGAGCCAGUAGAGAAUAUCGAGUACUGUUGCAGCCGUCGGAGAUCUCAGCAGCGGCGGCUUCUAGUGGCCUGCAGGUUUGAGAAGGUGCAGAAGAAGGAUGUGUCCUGUUCCAUUUGCCUGGUGGAAUUGGAGAAAGAAGAUGCGGUGAGCCAGCUCUCAAGGUGUAUGCACGUCUUCCAUACGGAUUGCAUUGACAAAUGGAUACAGCGUGGUCAUUUUACCUGCCCACUUUGCAGGACCUCCAUAGAUUAUUAACUCUUAGCCGUACUUCGUUGUACUUUCAUUUGCAUUAAUUUGAUCAUCUGGGCUUGAUUUCGAUGGUGGGGGUUGUAAGGGAAGCAGCCCAGUUCAAGUGAACUGUAGGGACAUAAAAAUUCAAAGAAAAUAAAAUCAAAAACAACAUAUCAAUUCCUACUAAAUAGUCAAUUUUUGUGAGAGUUUUUGAUUAAUGCGCAGCGGAGCAGAAGCAAUCCAACGGGAGCCGGCAACGGAAACCUGCACGCAGGCACAAACGUCACCAGCCAUGAUGAAACUGGGUUGAAUAAAUGUUCCAGUAAAGCGUGUGUGUGUCCACAUGCAUACAUACACACAUAAGAACGCAAUUUUGGAAACUGAAUGAACUGGACAAAGGCAUUUCAAUGUGUGGACAGAUAUAUGCAUUUGAUGGCCAUGAAUUAGCAGUAGAGAGAAUUACUGCUUCUCUGAAUUGAUAAAACAAUAGUUUGUUUCAACCUUUAAAAAAUAUCCAAUUCCAUAGACUGUACAAGCACGCCAUCAUCUUCCCACGUAACAUCCUUGGCCUUCGGAUCUUUUCCAAUUAAUUGCAGAGGCGCAUCCAGGCGUGGUGGGUUCUGCACACAUACAGCAUUCAAGAAAUUUAGCCAUGCUUAAUCAAUAUCGCAUUUUCCAAGAACCAAAAGCGAACACGGUUUGGACAUGAGAACACCAGGAAAGAAUUAUUCCUCAAACAUAGAUGGGAGCACUACCAUGCAGCGUAUGAGAGGCCAAUUAAUUCCACGGAAAAAUGGAUGUUGUUUGAUUUCAUUAGCACCAGCUUUUGAUCCUAAUCGGAUGGAAGGGUCUCUGUUCAACAACGCAUUGAUCAAUUGUCUGCCUGAAAGACUAACCUGGAAAAUCAAGAUAGGUCAGUAUUAUUCCAGAAGCUUUAAGAUUAAUAAUGACAUGGACAAACCCACCUGCAUUUAUGCUUCAAUAUUAGUCAUAAAGGAGAUCUAAUUUCAAGUUUUACUCCAAUCAUCCCUGACCUAGCGUUCCUUUUUAGAGUAAUGAUUCAAUGUUCCAAGACCUCCCCUUAUUGUGUUUUAAGAAAGUAAACUAGUACAUGCAACAAAUUAAGUUAUUACAGGUCACCCAAAAAAAAGAAACCAUCAUCAUAGGGUGUUAGAACAGGAGUACUUGUUUCUUUUCAAAUUGUGGGACAAUCAAAAUCUCAAAUAUAGACUUCUUUUAUAGGACAUGAGAAGCACCAAUUAAGUGGAAAAAAGUAAUUAGGUUAGGACUGAAAAAAGAAGAAACAAAAUCCAAGAGCAAAAAGCUAAUUCUUUCCAUUCUUAGAAAGACAUUUCAGAUCCAAGUGUAAAAGUUCCCGAUGAUUACUGCUUCCUAGGAAACAGAAGUUCCUGGUGGCACCAUCGUUGGCAAUAUUUAAGAAGAGCAGUAUUAAAAAGUCGACAAAAUCUCAAGAACUAAAUAGCAAAAUAAGUGCUAUCUUACACAAUUAUGAUAACUUAUUGCAAGUUAAAGAUCUUACAGGGAUGCUACUUGGAAAGGUGAGAUCUUUGUGCAAAAUGUUGGCAAAUGUCUUUUGCCUGUUCUUUCCCCUGAAAGGUGUACGACCAUAUAGCAUCUCAUACAACAAAAUACCUGAAUUCCAAAUUAAAUAAACAAAAAAAAAUCAUGAGAAAAGAGACAAGUCAAAUAAUGCAUGAUAUUCAAAGAGGCAAAUUAAGCACAAUCAGCACUUAUCUUCAGAAUGCAAUUAAUAUAUCUUUUACUGCAGGCCAAAAAACCAAGGCAAAUUUUCUCACGCUGCAUAAUCAUCCAGUGACAGAACAUGCAGCUUGCUAGUUAUUUGUUUCAACCACCAAAAAUGUAACAUCAUACGUGACUUAGUUAUAGAAAUUGCAAUGCAGCAUGACAAUGACUGUAGGGGCCAAAGCUCUUGAGCAGUCAUUGAGCGGUCCCAUCAAGAAGAUGACAGCACUCACAACUUUGCUUCUUCAUAACAAGAAUUAUAUCUAAAAGGGAAUGCAAUUAGUAGCAUGCCAUUUAGCCUAUCAGGUAUGCAUGAUUGCAAACAGUUACAAUCACAGUAAAGAGGACAUCAUCAUCAAACUGUCAGGUAUACUUAAAGAACCUUGAAUAAUAUGAACAUGUGAAAUCUGUGAAGAAAAAAACAUUAUGAUGCCAUCAAUCAAGGACAAGUUAUGUUACAUAAAACUGGCAGCUUCAGAGGCUUAUAUUUGCAAGAAUAUGGCAAAUAAUAUAUAAGGAAAGAAACAGUGGCCCAAUGAACCCAAUUAAACCAGUAGUGAAGAAAAUGGGAUACUUAUAACAUUUGUGUGUCAUGUGUGCACGAUAUGCUUACCAAGAGCCCACCAGUCAAUCGCACUGCUGUGGCCCAUGCCUGUGAUUAUUUCCUGAAGUCAAGAAACUCAUAAGAACUCUUAUAUGAAUAAAAAUGCAACGAAAUGGUAGACAUAAUUCCUAGUUAUGUAAUAAACAUGUUUGAUUGAUUGACGCUAGAUGAACGAGCACAUGCAAGCUUGUUUCAAGUUGUGUUGAGAAAAAAAUGAAUACAUGCAUGCAUAUUUCUUUGCUAAAGCAAAACAUUCAAUCUUAGAAUAUGGUAAAAAUUUGAGUGCAGAUCUGAAUUCCCGAAGAAAGAAAAAUAGCAAUUACAGUGUUAAUAACAACAUUCUUCAAAAAAUACUGUAUUUUUUGAAGAAUGUUGUUAUUAACACUGUAAUUCUUUAGGAAAGAGACAUGAACAUAAAAUUCUUUAGGAAAAUCUAAAAGCUUGGCAGCCAAUUAGAAACACUUGACCCCUCCAAAUGGUUGUUUUAAACCCACCAUAAAUGGACAUUAAACAACUCAACAGCAGACUCAAUCCAGGAAAAUUGCUCUGAAAAACUUCCAGUCUUUCUAGAAUCUUGUGGAACAUAACUUCCUUGGUAGUACACACAUAGAUUAUUUCAAGUAAACAAUUGUAUAAAAGUUCAGAAAAUGUUAAAUUCACCAUACAGGAGCAAUAUAUUCUUCAGUUCCAACAAAAGAAUUUGAUUGAGUUAUUGGUUCUGCGACAAAUGUUGGUGGUGCUUGACUCCUUGAUCUUCUUCUUUUAUUAGGUGGUGCAUGCUUUAUAAUCUGCAUAGCACAUUUGAAUUGAACAUGUAAAAUGAGUCUUGAUUCCCAAAAUACAGUUUUAGAAAAUCUGUAAACUUCUGAUUCCAGUAUUAUCAUGGCAUGCAUGGUUAAAGAGAAAAAAAAAAUCUGAAAAAGUAAACAACAUAAACAUUUUCAUGAUUUUUUGGGUGCAAGAAUUGAAUCGUGUUGAGUUACAGAAUUGUAUUGUGAAAUAGUAAAAGUGUAAGAAGAAGAGUGUCAAAUACAAAGCAGAAAAGACAUAUUCGAUUAACGUAACAAUAAAUGAAGACUUAAAUAACUUCCAAAAACAUAGAUUAGAAAAAUUGGAAAAAGUAUGAAGAAGGGGAAGAUGGCCCUCCCACUAUUCAAACAUUUAUAAAGAAGAUAGGAUGUAGUUGGUGUAAUGAAUAAUAGUGAUCCAUAGGUAGGAAGCCAAAAUGAAAACAAAUAUGUAAGAUACGAAACAUAUGAUUUUUUUGAACAGGAAGACAGUGUUAUACUUGUGGUUUGCAGGAUGUCAAGAAUGACAAAUCAAAGUCACUCAAGACAAUAUGUCCAUCCUUCUGAAGUAGAAUAUUUUCAGGCUUCAGGUCCCGAUAAACUAUUCCUGUAUAAUGUCAUAAAAAAAACAAAGUUAAAAAAAAACCAGAAAAAAAUAUUCCAUACAAUCGAUGCAAAAUAUAUAUAAUUAUCAUCAGAGAACCUUACUCUGUUGUAUCUACGAGAUAAUUAAGCUUUUCUGGUUGAUAGACCAACCUUGAAAUUUAGGGUAUCUACUAAGAUGGUUUCCCAAAAUAAACACUAUAUUGGCAUAGAAGCAUGACAUAAGGCCAUUCAAAUUAUCUAUUUAAAUAAACUUAGAUAGAAACCACAUAUAUUGUCUGUAAAUGCAGAUAAUGUAUUUCUUGGUUUAACCAUCCUUAUGAACUCAAUGGCAUAUUUGAUUGUGAAAUCCCAUCCAAGGCACUUGCACCCAUUAGCACAUAAUACAACAUUAAACAUCAUUUCAAGUUUAUUUUGGGAGAAAUGGGAAAGGUAAAGACAAACAAAGAUUUGUAUCACAUCAAAGCAUUUAUACAAAAUGUUCAGAAGCAUCAGGUAUGAAUACACCUGCAUUCAUUCCUUUGUAGUUUGGCAUGCUUAAAUCAUGACAACUUGAAGAAACAAAAAAUUUAAAUGAGUUCUUAUCAUUUUUUCACUGAGCUCCAAUCAAACAGGAUUUAGGAUGAUAGCAUGCUCCUAAGACAUCUAACAAUAUUCUUGGAAUUCUGAACAGCACUUGCAUACAUUCAUCUUCAUGGUGUUCUUUCGAUUUAUGACUUGAAGAAACAACUAAAAGAUAAUAAACUUAAACCAAAGCACAGAUCUGUUCACAAAGUACCUAAACAAUGAAGAUAUUCCAAGCCAAUCACAACCUCCGCAGCAUAGAACCUGGAGAGUAAUAACAGUUGACAAUUAACUAGAAGCUUGUUCAUAUAAGAGGUUGUGAUGCAGAAGGCAGCAGCUGAUACUGGCCAGGUCAAUAUGGUUUGUUGUUUCAAAAUUCUAUGACACGAGUAUUUGUUUGGUAAGAGAGCUCAAUAAUAAGGAAAAUCUAGGGCUAAAAAUCAGCUUGUGGGUAAAGCAAAAGAAAAUCCUGCACCUUUAGGUUCAUUAACCACAUCCAAAUUCUUAUUAUAACUUACAUUUAGUGCAAAGAAAUUCUACCACAAGAAACAGUUUUGGUUUCAAAAUUGUGAAUCCUACAAUUGGAAAUGGUAAAAGUAGAAAUGGCAUUGGCAUUUUAAGACAUUAAAUGGAGAACCAGGAGUACCUUGCAGAUUCCUCAUUGAAUAAUUUCAUGGGUUGCUUGUCAAGCAAUCCAAAUAACUCUCCACCAGGGAAAAAGUCUGUUAUCAGACAAACGUGUGUAGAAGUCUGACAAAAUAAAGACAAAUCAGUGUAUUUCACAGUACACAAUAACUCAGUAAAUUUAAGCAACAAAUAUUGAAAUUUUCAGCAAGGGCGGUAGCGGUUUAACUAGGAUUAUGUGAUGAUCCAUAUAAAUGAAGAAGAAACACAAAAGAAACCACACAAAUUCAUUUUAAUACGAAUUUAGAGUAUGCAUUGAAGCAAUUUUUUUCAUACAAACUUCUCCAAAAAUGCACUAAUUGACGUGUGCACACUGCACAUUUAGGUAUUUACAUGUGAGAGCGUGCAACCAAAAUUUUUAAGCUAUUUGUUGGAGUCAUUCCAUGGUUCUAAAUUGUGGGCAUGGUGAUGGUGCAGUUUCAAGCUUCAUAGGUGUGAAUCAUUAAAAACAAAAUAAAAAUUAAUUUACACAAACACAAUACUUGCAAGGGUGAAAAAUUGUAGACCUGUGUGUUCCACAUUAAUUAAAAGAAGGGUAAAUUACAAUGACCCCUUUUGUGCCCAAACUAGAUAAAUAACCCAAAAGUUUAAAGAUAUAAUGGAAACCCUUUUUGUACCCAGAUUACCCAUACUAAUGGGUGAUUUUAAAAUUAGUAAGGGGUUUUGUAAUAUUUGCUUAAAUAUAGAGGGGGUUUCAAUCAUAUUUUUAUACUUUUGGGUGGUUUGUGUAAUUUUACAAUAACUUAAAGGUGUUAUCCAAUUUACCCUUAAGAAAAAAAGACCACAAAGGAUUUUAUUCAACAUCCAUUACCAUGACAUAACCUCUGUUUUGGCCAUUACGGGUGGGAAAAUCUACACUAGUUGCAAUGUAAUGGAACCUUAAACAUUAAGGGUUGUUAAAACACUGCCUGGGGGAGCAGGUGUUGUGAAAGUAUGGCCAUUUUCUAUGUAACACUUACCAAACUUUACAACCACCAACAACGUGGACUAUAAUUUAACUAAAUUAAGGACCACUAAGUCAACCUAUUGUUGUUUUCUCCAAACCCUUUGUUGGCUCUAUGAGUAACUGCAGAACCAGAAGCAGGAAGAAAGUAUAAAAUUUCAUCAAAUAUGACACCUCAAUGGAUGAUGGCCCCAAGUAUUUCCCAGUGGUAAGAUGUUUUUCUUUUACUAGGAAGUGAGCAAACAUGUUGAAUGAAAUGAUGGGGGGAAAGCAACCAAAAUUAAAGUGCCCUUGAAACUUCCGGCAUUUCAGCCAAACAAUAAUCUUCUACCAUUUAGGCAACAGAGAUAGUUAACUAGUAGCACAAUUUGCAGUAGUAGACAACUUAAGCAUCUAUUCAUCAAUUACAAAACAAUUCAUAAAUACGAAAAUAGGAAUUUGGAAACUUGCAUGUUAAAAUUUCUGAAUGUAGGGAAAAAAAGUAAAGAGUAUCUCAAAUGAGAAUACCUGAAAAGAAGAAUACAGUGUUGGAAGAAAAGGAUGAUCCAAUUGCGAAAUGAUUUCCCUCUCAAUGCAUGCUCGAUGAACCUGUAAAGUAAUCAUAAUAAGUGAUGAGAAUAUACCUUUAUGUUAUCAAACAUGAGUUGUUUUUGGCAGAGAAGAUCUAUGAUGUUGCAGUUUCCAUAACAUUCUGGGAUAUUGUGGUAAUUAAAUCAUGGUAGGUUUUGAAGUGUGCACGUAGGCUUGCUUGCUUUCUGUGUAUCCAAGUUAAUAUUUGAAAUUUUUAUUAGAUAGUGCCAUCUUCGUGGCUCAAAAUUUUCAACCUUCAAAGGAUAAGAAAAUAAGUGUCAAGAGCAUCAUGUAGUUUUCAUUCUUAGCCAAAAGUAUAUGUGAUUGUUCAGCUUUGACCACUCUCCAAGUGUAUGCAUAUAUUUUCACAUUAAUAAAUUUAUAUGUUCCCCGCAUAAAGAAUUCCCUUUUGUAUAUCUUAUAAACAACGAAAAAUUUUCUAUCACUUGAACAUGGAACAAAACCACAACUGAAGGGGCAUCAAUAUUGUACAACAAAUGAUAUAGAGAGCCUUGCACUUAGGACACAAAGGUGAUUGGACAAGAAAAUUGUAUGUUCUCAAAGUACUUUUCAUACAGUGAAAAUGUUUAAAUAUGGAACAUUUCAGAAACAACAGCAAAAAGAUAUAAAAGAAAAGCUUAAGCCAGUUUCAGGAAUCAUAUAUCAACAACACAAGUCAUGUGCUAUCACAUAAGAUAUUAAAUAAAAAGAUAAAAGUUGCUAGGUAUCUCAGAAAUAACUUCUGGUUCUUCACACCUUGUUACGGUUCAGCAUUAUAGAUUUUUCCAUUGCCUUCAUAGCAUACAGCUCCCCUGCACCUUCCAGUUCCACUAAAUGCACACUGAAAUACAUAAAAAUGGUUUAACGCAAACAUAGGAAAUCUCUAUGGACAUGUGAACAGCAAUGAGCCAGUCACAGUUCAAGCCAAAACAAUCAACAGAAAGCCAGCACAAGAAAAGGCACAGAACUGUCAUUGGUGUGGUAAAAAAUAAAGAAAAAAACUGUCAUGAUACUUUCUUCCACUACUUAUUGCCAGUCUACAUAUACACACUAAAAUUUGAUGGAAAUAAAAAAUAACUAAAAUUAUAAAUGAAAAAAGAACCUCUCAUGACAACCUAUCGACCUAAAUUAAUAACAGCUAUCAAGUUUACGAACUACGAGUUGCCUCAUUCAUUAGUUUUGACAAUCCUUCCUCGCUUGAAUUUUUACAGCAGAGACUAGAAAAUUAAUCAAACAAUUGCAGCUUUCCAAGGUACAAUCACGAUUCCAAGCAAUACCAACAUUAAUCAAAACAAAUACAGCUUUCCAAGGUACCAUCAUGAUUCCAAGCAAAACCAACAUUACCUAUGCGAAUAAUAACAGAAAAGGGGAAAAAUAAAAACAAUUGAAGUUGGAAAUAGAAUGAAAGUCAUACAUCACGACACAGAUCCAUGCACAAUGCACCUAUUUCAACCUAAAACCUAAAAAAGAGAAGUCAAUACCUGCCAGUAUCACCACAGCCCAAGGGUUUUAUGGGCUUGAAAUGAUGUAGACCAAUCUUUUCUCCACGGGAAGUGAUCUGAUACCAAAUGGAUGGGUUUUAAUAUGAAAAACAAGAAAAGUCAAUAAAGAGACAAGCAAUAAAUAAACUGCUUCUGAUUUCAGAGCAGUAAAGAAAUAUAUGAAUCUCUUACAAACCAAAUAUGAAGUGCAAAAUCAGUUCAAUUCAACAUGCAUUCAUCACACAAUGAAUAAUGAAUGCCAACAAAGCAAUCAAUAUAAUCCAUCUAAAUAAUAGAGAAUCAAAAGGAAGACUUAUAGAUGUCUUUCAUGAUUUAUGAGCAUAACUAUUCUCUAUCUGACUCCAAAAAGAAAAUAGAGCCUAAGCAAGUUGGCUAGCAUGGAUUAUUUUACAUCUAGAAGCUGGAAUCCUUAUCAUUAUUACUGCUUCUGCUGCUUUGAAGUAAAGUCCACUUAGAGUAAUUUAUUAAUUCAUUCCUCCACUUAAGUAAAUGAAAUCAAGUUCAUAAUUAAAUGAACUAAAGCACGUGAUAAGUAUCUCUACUGCUUGGUCCUAGACAUCAGAUAGUACCACGCUACCAGCACACAAUCUUUCUUUAGCAUUUAUUGCACCUGAAUCCUGCAACUUAUCACUUCCCCAUUUCAUUUUUCCAAAAAGAAAGCAGACAUUAAUUAACAUGAAAAAAAAGCAGUAUUUGUAAUAUCAGGCAUUAACACAAAACUGAUCGUGAUGUCACUGCAUGAAUUACAGAGUUUCACUUUAGGUGUAGGUUUAACCCAAACAAAUUGAUGCACACUGUGCAAUAUAUAGAAUUGAAUAUCAUCGCAGUAUGAAAAUGGUAGGUUAACUUGAUUAAUCAGCACCUUCUGAAUUGCAGUCCAAGAACGACUAUUCUUUUUGUGAGGCCGUGGAAAGACAGGUUGAGAAUGAAUUGCCCACAAAUCUUCAGGUCUCUGGAAAAUAUUAUAGGACAUAAUGGCAUGAACAAUGACAUAACUACAAUUUCUCAAAAAGUAAAUGACUUUUCAGAGAAGACAUAAAAAGUUUAGGUAGCAUGAAAAUGGAAGUCAGAGAAUAAAUUAACUGUUGAAAAACUAUGCCAGCCUAUACAUCACACACCAUUUAAAUGAGCUGACUUUCUAAUAGCAUUGCAAAAUGUAGUAUCUAAAUCAGCCCAAUUUGUGUACUAAGACUCUAAAAUUAUACAUAUUAAGAUGUUCAUUUAUAAACCCAUGAACUUAAGGAAUUUCUGUAAUUUGAGCAUAAAUUAAGAUUUCUGUAGUUUUUUAUUCAAGUGAUUCCCAACACAUUAAAUUAUGGAUUUCAUAAUAUUCUGAAGCAGUGAACAUAGUCCAUUUCGUUUUAUUUGUUUCAAAAAUUUAGAGAUUAUCAGUCAUCAAUUUCAGUGACCAAGCAAUUUGUUACACUGCAUAUCAUCAUCCUCGCAAUUCAUCCAUGUGCUAUUGAGAAUUUAAAACACAGAAAGCUCAAAGAAAGAGGCAGAUAAUCAUUUGGACGAAGGUAAAUGACAUCAGCUAGUUAUCAGUCCUAACCUGAAGAGGAAAGAGUACCUUACCAAGUUGGCAUCAGGAAGUUCUCGAACAGCUUCAUCCACAUUUUCUGCAGUAGCUUUAACCUGAUAAAGAAGCACAUGUAAAAGAAUUAAAAGCUUGUGGGUGUUAAUGGACAUGGCAGAUUUCAACGAGCAUUAGAUCCACUAUAAAAUAUUUUUUCUAACAUGUUUGAGAGCUAACCCAAUUUCACAUUUUCACGCAACAGUUCUUCAAAUUCAUAGUUUUAUGCAACAAAAAUACAAUAAUUUGGUUAGUUUCUAACUCAUGAUUUUCUUGUCGCUGAGGCUAGAUAGAGUAUAAAAUGGCAAACCAAAACAUUAGUUGUUUAUAAAAUGAUAAAGGGUGCGAGGAGGGUGGUUUCAAUUGUCAUUAGCGUAUACAAGAGGAGACAAGUGAAACAGCAUAGUCUUAACUGUGAAGAGAACAUAGAGGAAACUAGUGAAUAUCUAGAAGUAAUCCAAAGGCACAGUUUAACGCUAUUCUGGGUGUCCUAAUUACAUCUCAACAAAUAGUAUAAUAUGGGGACUCUUAUUUCUGUGUCCAGUCAAUUUAUCCAAAUCACUAAUUACAAAUCCUGAUUUCAGCAAGCUAGUUCAAUUUUUUAGCUUAUCUAAAAUGAGUGGACACUAUGAAGUAUGAACCAUGAUGUCUACCGACAAAGGAAAAGCGACAGAAGGAACCACAUACCAACUUAGCACUUUGUAGUUCUGUUGCAUCUGACAGGCGGUUUUGCAGUGGUUCCACAUGAUCACUUCCAUCCAGUUGAACACCAAUGAAGUAUUGAAGUUCACCCUACAUAAAAACAGGGGACUCAUAGCUACAAAUCAGACCACAAGAUUCCCACAUAACUGCUUGAAAAUGAGGGUAAUUAUUGUUGGAUUAAGUCCCACAUGAAGGAGGCAGGAGAAAGAACGAGAUAAGAGACAACUGUAUAAUGACAAAGUGGUUAACCAUUUUAGUGUGGAAUCAACCCAACAAUAGAGAGAGGGAGAGAGAGAGAGAGAGAGAGAAGCAAAAUUCUAAAUAAAAACCCUACAACGUUAUAGCCUAAGACUAUUGAUGAAGAAAAAGGAAAGAGAGAUCUUGAUUCACCAAGGGCAUCUAUCUGGUAAGUGUGGACGUCCACUGAUCAAAUGUUCUAGAUUGAUUAAGAGAAUCCAUUCAGAUGGAUUUUCCUCUGUAAAAUUAUCAUUACCUCAAAAAAAAAAUAUGAUUGAGGUACAUGGUAUGUUACAGGGAUCGUGCAUGAAUAAAAAAAAAGGCUGGGGAUGGUGAGAACACGAGCACAGUCUGCAGUAAGAGGAUUGUCGGUUCACAAGACAACCUCAGGAAAGGAUAAAUGGUUGCAAGUGAGGAGUGUUGGUGCAAGUCUCAGAACUGAAGAAAGAAGGAAAAAGGACAAGAUUAGGCCAAGGCCAAGACACCAACAUGAUUAACCAGUUUAGUUUAGAGAGCGAACUGCACAAUAACUACAGACCAACAAGAAUUACAGCCCAAGAUCAACCAAGAAACUCUAAGAAUUGUCUACAAUAACAAUCAUAUACCUUUUGGUCACGCAUAGGCUGCAAGUGAAAUAAGUUCCAGAAUUUCUUUCCUGCAUGAAAUGAAACAUAAAAAUUCAUCAUGGUGAUUAAAAAAUAUAAAAAAUAGACUACAUAUUAUGUCUUUAAAAAGGGGCAAUAACGUGUCCUCCCAAAGAUUGUAUCAUAGAAAAUUUGCAAACAGAUGAUGAAUUCUCUCUCUAAUAUUCAAGGAUUAAUGAGAAAAUUGUGACAUUCAGCUAAAAAAGGUGCGCAUUUGCAACAUCAUGAAAUUGAAUUCACAUACUUACCACUCUUGGUAUAGUUGAUCAACUGAACAGUGAUUUCUCUUUGUUCUCUUAUAGCAUCUCUUACCUUUGAGACAGUUGCUUGAUCUGUCUCAGGUCCUUGAAGAAACCUGUAUAAUUGACAAAGCAAAGUAGAAUAGUGUGUCAAUUGUUGACAAAGUACAUGGUGCAAAGAAUAGAAGGGAGUUAAACUGAUGCUGUUAUGUUUAUGUAAUUUGUAUAGGAAAGGAAAUUUUAAACACCAGUGUUCAAUUUGUAGCAGCAAGUGUUUCCACAAAAAAUGAUGAAAUAUAGGCAUGAUAUAAUCAUGAGAAUCAGCAUAGAGCUGUUCUUGAUAUUCUUCUUGACUGGUAAACCAGUCAGCUGUAAAUGAAGUCCUGCCAAUUCUGGUGUUUUGAAAACAUUGCAAGUAAUAACAUGUUAUCUUAACUUUCUCCCUGCCUCUUUAAUACUUUGAACCAUCGAUAUCCAAAAUUUUAAGCAGAAGUUGCAAAUUUAUAGUUUUAUAAUGGUAUAUUAUUUCCUAAGAAUUCAAAAAAUAUUAACACACGAGGGUACUCUUUAAGGCAUAUAAUUGAAAAAUAAACUGAAGAAAUGGUAGAUUAAUGAGGAGCACAAAGUAACAUCAUGUUUAUUUGGGAAAGACAUGAGAAGAACUGGUUGGGCAUGAGUACUAUAUGUAAAAAAUAGAGUACGACUUGAAGGCAAAUUAAGUGGGAGGCACGUGCAAAAAAGAGAAGAUAACACUCAAUGAAGACAGAAAAUGUACUGCAUUUCAUACCGACAGUUUCUUCCCAAAAUUUCUUCUCGAGUGUAUUCUGUUAGUUCAAGAAAGCUAUCAGAAGCAAAUAUCUGCACAAUAAAGCUGAAUUAAUAUAACAUGCUGGUGUAAGGCUGCAAAUAUGCAGAUUAAGUUUUCUUGCAAGGAGUAUAAUGCUAACAUGGAGAAAGAACAGAGCAUAUAUUUUAUUUCAUGGAUUGAAAAGAAUGGACACUAGGGUUGAUAACAAUUCAAAUGCAAAAAAAAUAUGUUAAACAUGUAUUGAUUUCACAAUCUCGCUAGUUUGUAGGUCAGUUUUCCAAAGAGGGAUGAGCAUGAGGGCAUUGUAUCAGAAAAAGCCCAUGAUCUAUUGUACUUGUUCAGUUUACUUGUUGGAUUAGUGCAUCAAGGUUGUGGAGCAAAGCUGGAGCAGUGCAACUAACUGACUUGGAUGAGAAAUCCUAUGCGCAUUCAAUGUUUCCAACGUGGGAGACACAAGUGCGUAUGCAGACACACUGUGGACUGUGAUGUACAUAGAUAGUCUAACUAGCUGUUUCAGAGGGACUUGUAUUUGGGACAGGGUGUGGAGGAAGCACUACAUUGUACUAUUCAGUUCUUUAGUCAAAUUUCCUUCUUUGUUUUUUGUUUUUGAUGAAUUAUAGUCAAAAUCCCAUGCCUUCAUUGACCUUGAGUCAACUAACUAAUGUAAAUCUUUGAGUUCUUGUCAUUCAUAACUGUUCUACAAAACCUUUUGUGCUCUAUCCUCACACAUGAAAUUUAGUGUAGCAAUCAAACAUGUAAGAAAGCAUAUACGAGACAGAGUUAUCCAUUUCUACAUUACAAGCUCCUCCUCUUCCCCUCAUUUAAAAGUUUAUGAGUUGAUGUGAAAAAAAGCUUUUGAAUCCAGUGCUCUGGCGUGAAUGCAAGAAGGUUUUAGAUAGCAGACUAGGGGGCCUAUUCCUUUACUCGUGCACUCAAAACAGACUUUGAAAUUCAAGAUGUAUUGGACAAUGAUGAGACAAAUAGUAAGAAGAAAGUCUUAAAACUGACUAGAUGCCUUACAAUGGGGUUAUCAGGAAGCCUAGGAUCUGUGAUCACAAAAUUCUUUUCAAUGCGUUCCAAUGUGGUAGCUAAAUCAAAUCCUUGGCGUGUAUCCCUUUCCCAUUCAGCACGGUCCCAGCUGUCAGAGCGUUCAAUGUCUUUAGUCAUCAAAACCUCAGGUUCAAUAGUUGGUGGUUCUUCAUGCUUUUCUGCAGAAUGUGUAGACUUAGAUUUGAACCUGAGAAGAAGGAAGGAUGAAAUCGCACAAGUGAUAUAUCUAUUUAAAAUUUUAGAGAAUGAUGUAGAUGUAAGCUUUGUGAGGCAAACACAGCGGGAAGGUGGAGCAGCCAGACUAACCCCAUCAAGGAAAUGCGAGAUGAUUUUCUCGAGUUUUUGGCAGCGUCAGGAAAGGUGGUGGGGGAUUGAGAGACAUUAACUGGAGUGAGUCUGCCAGGUGCGGUGACAUUGUCAAGAUCGAUGGAUUUAGGGAGAACAUAAUCGAGGUUGCCAGAAGUUUCAUGGCUCACAGUGCGAGAGUGAGAUUUGGGGUGCUUGACAGUUUGGACAACUUCAGUCAUGGAAUCUAAAGCCUUAGCCUUCUGACGAGCUGACAAGUCCAAGAAGCAGAAGAAUCACGAAUGAAUCUUCAUGGAUAUACGUCUGUAUUUAAAUAAAGAAAAAAAAAGCAGAAAAUGGGGAAAUCAAUCAACUGCAGAUACCAUCGUAGCGGAUUAAAGACUUGGGCAAUCCAUUUGGGCGCAAAGCCUUGUCGUUAACACCUUCCGUAUAUUUGCUGACCUCCACCUGCAUUCUGCGCUCACCAAAACCAAAAUGACGAUAACGUUUUACUGCUAAUCUAUACAAUUUUAUACAAAUUCAUCCAAUUAGAUUAUUGAUAAUUAAGAGUGAGAGAGAGAGAUUAAAUAAGAAGCGUACCCAAUGAAUUUGAUAGUGUUGCCACGAUCAUCCUUGAUAGGGGUGACGGUGAGAAGAUUCCAGAAAGGAGUGCCAUUCUUCUUGUAGUUGAGAAGCCUCCCGCAGUAACUUGUCCCAUUCUUGACGGCAUCUCGUAUCUUCGCCACUUCAUUUUGGUCCGUGCCUGCGCCUUGCAGAAACCGGCUGCAUUUGCAACAUACACACACGACGGGACGAGACGACUAUUCAAUUAAUUUGUUUUAAAAAUCAAAUCACAGUAACUAAUUCUUCGGUUUAAUCAACGAUACCUAGCUACAGCCCGAGUCCUAGAGGCGGGUCUCUUACUCCUUCCCCUCCGUUUCCCUCUACUGCUCACCGUUUCUAUGCUUUGUAUUUAUUUUAUUUUAUAUACUUUUUCCUAAUUUAUUCUUUUUUUUAAAAAAAAAACGAUGUUUUAUAUACCAGUUCCCUCCUCCUACUACUACAAGUCUACAACUCCUCCUACUGCUACAACUCCUCCUCCUCCUCCUCCUCCUCCCACUACUACUACUACGCUUUAACCGGAAUCGGAAUUUAAAGAGGAAAGGUUAACAGUUUUCAACUGAAAUGUUUAGUAGUGGAUGGCUAGCUCACCAGUUCCUUCCGAUAACUUCUUUCGAAGAAUAGCCGGUCAUAGUAAAAAAACCACUGCUUGCAAACAUGAUAGGGUAGUCUGGUUUGGUGGCAUCAGAGACCACAAACGUUUGCUGCAAUGUUGCUAGAGCAUUCUUCAGCUCCUGGGAUACCCUCGGAACGGUUCCUCCUGCUUCGCUUUCCUCUGAUGUCCUCGUCGACUCCACCAUAAAUGAGUUUUUUUUGCUUCUAUUUCCUCCAUUCUCCUCUUGUUCUGAUCUAGUUGCUGUAGCUUUGAAACUACGUUCUCCUACAUCUGACCUCACAAAUAUUCCCCAUUCUGCAGUCCUUUCUGCAAUGCUAGCUCCGGUUAGUAUCUUAUUUGAAGAGGAGGGGGAGGAUUGUCCUAUAGAAGAUGAGUUGUUAUGAUCGGAUGAGGUGCCUUGAUCUUCAUCUUUUCCAGCUUUAACCGUAGCGCUGGUCCCAGUCCCGUUCGAUUGAUCUGUUAUGGAAUCAUCACGAUCAGAAGUGUUCUUGGACUUUCUUUCAAAUGUCAUCCACUUGUUCAAAGCCUCUCUGCCGCUACCAGAAGUAGCAUUAGUAGCUGGAGAUGAUCCGGAUCCCUCCUCCACUACUUGGACAUCUGUUGAUCUAGUGCCAGUAGCAUUAUUAUCAUUAUGAGGAUCAAAAACCUCUAUUGAUCUCUGCGCUUGAUCGUCCGUGGAAGAAUUCACCUUUGGUUUGUCCAUAUUUAAAUUUCUGAUCUUUAGAAAUCACCUCUGUGCCAAAAUUAUGGAAAAAGACAAGUCAGAGAAAAAUGUUACACACGUUAGUAACCUGGCACAUGCUCUAUCAAAAUAAUUUGAAAGCUAGCUAGCUAGUGCUAUGAACUAAGAAUUGAGUUUCCAAAUUCCAACAGAAAACAUCGGGCUGAAAUUUCUGAAUUUAAAAGCAAUUAAUUUGAGGAAGCAUCAAGCAAACAGUGCUGUAGAAUUCACGGUGUGCUGUCCAUGAAUCAAGAUCACAAAAUUCUGGAAAAAAUGCUGCUAAUUAAAAAUGGCAGUGAAAGGUACAGCAGGGAUCAAAAGACUACGUCAAGAAACUGGAAACUGUAAGAUAUGCUGUAAAGGUACAGUUUAGUUGGAUAUUAUACAAAGAUUUGAUCGACUACUUAAAGAAUAAGAAACAGUGUGUUUAUUACAAGCAUCCCUUAAAAUUCAGCCAUAUGUAUUCGUAUAACAGUAUUUUAUAUAGCUCUAUCAGUACAUUUAAUACUGAUAGAACAGAAGAGCUGAGCGGGAAAUUAAGGAGAAUGAGGUGGGAGCAUAGUGCCAAAUGGACCUUAAGAAAACAAGAAAGAAAGGCAUGGAAUAGCAUAGAGCGCGGGGAAAAUUCAUUGAGAAGGUUCUCACGUAAUUCAGAUCAACAGCAACAGUACAGAAUUAGACUUCAAGGGUGGCUAGCUAGCUCUUCUCGUCGGCGAUGAAUCAGCCAUAUUUGCAGCUCGCUCGUUAAUUAAUAUUUCACAGAAACUGGACGUCAGUACGCCACAAGAAGCUAGGAUAAGGGCUUUUGAUUUUAGUAAUUAAGCUGUUAGCUAGCUAAUCGCCGGCCCUUUUAUCUCUGUCAGCACUGCAGUAGUGUACUCCGGUGUGUGCGCAGUAAAUGAAGUGAUAGUUUCUUCCUUGUUUUGGUUCCCAAAUGGAAUCAAUAUCAGGUGGGUGUGGUGGAAAUCAGAUGACGUUCCGUUUUCACCAUAAAUGGGAAUGUCCCCAACUGUCUUGUCCCCUUGUACACGCAGUGAGUUAAUGUACCGUGUAGACACAGUCCAAUUAACCACGAUCUACCACUGCAGGUUUUGAGCAUGUAAUGGAUAAACGCUAAGUUUUAUUAACAUGUUUAAACUGGAUAUGUUUUCAUUUGAGGCCACAAAUUCUCGAUGUGGCGUUGUUUCGAGAUAAGUUUCGCCAUGGCGGUGCUUGGUGCGCUUUUUAAUUGGAGUUUUUAAAAUUUUAAUUUUUCUUAAAAUUAAUUAUUUUUAAUUUGUUUUAAAUACGAUGAUAUUAAAAAUAAAUUUUAAAAAAUAAAAAUUAUUAUUUUAAUAUAUUUUUAAAUAAAAAAAUAAUUUUAAAUUAAUUAUUAUUAUUAUUAUUAUUUUAAACAUUCUAUAGAUUUUAUUUUUAUCAUUUUUUUUUUGACACAUAUAAGUAUGUUAGGAGAGCAUUAUGUUAUUUUACUUUAGUUUUUUUAGAUGAAAUUUAAAAAUAUAAUAAUAAAUAUUUUUAAUAUUAAUAUAUCAAAUUAAUAUAUAUAUAUAUUUGUGGAAAUUAACAAGGAUUAUAUAUAUAUAUAUAUAUAUAAGAAAUAAUUAAGUAAUCGUAUUUUGUGUGCUGUCAAAUGUCAAUUAUGUACUUAAAUGAAGUUUUCGUACUCGUAGCAACUAGAUCAUUCAAUUGUCACCUUCCAUCACCUAUCUGUAGUCUUCGACGUGGCACAUUAUCAAUAAAGGAACGACGGAUUCAUUUCUGAUUUCUCUGUAUCAUUUCUUUGCAAAAAUUUCUUACAGGAAAAAAAAAAUAAUCAAAUAGGAAUGUCCAUAUCAGGUGAGGUACGAUUGUAGAUAGCAGGAAAAAAAUGCAUGGUGGUCCAGUAGUCGUGGCAUCAGUUGCAGCCACGAAAGUCCUUGGUACUCACGUGGCUACGUGCCGAUAUGUGGGUCUCGGCUUUACCCAAAGCUGAGUGGUGACCGUGUCUCCUUCCACAGAUGAUGUUUGACCCCCCCCCAGGAACGUGUGGUGCUUCUAAUUAUUUUUAUGUUUUUUUAAAAAAAUUAUUUUAAAUUAAUAUUUUUAAAUUAUUUUAAUAUACUAUAUUAAAAAUAAUUUUUAAAAAAUAAAAAAUAUCUUAUUUUAAUAUAUUCAUGAAUAAAAAAUACUUUAAAAAACAACUGGUAAUCACGCUCUCUACAAAAUAAAUUAUUCUGGCUCCUCAUUUCUUCAAAAUGUACACUUGAUUAUAGUUUACAUACAAAUUAUAAAUUAGUCCAAAAAAAAAUUAUAAAUUAAAAAAAUUAUACAAAUUUUUAAUAAAAUAAAUUAAAAAAAUAUACAUACAAAUAAAAGACAAAAAAUUUAUCGAUUAUAGUAAAAAAAAAAAAAAAAACCAGAAAGAUAGGAUAAGUGUGUUAUAUACUAGGAAAAAAAAUUGAAGAUUUAUUUUAGUUUGAAAUUGAAUUUUUAAUGUUUUAAUUGGUUUAGAACAAUAAAAUUAAAUUUUAUUUUAUCAAAUUGAAUAUUAACUCAUGUCAAAAUUUGUUAUUAAUAUCAUGAGAGCUAUAUAUAAAAUCAAUUAAAAUAAAACAUCAAACUUAGUCUUAAAUAAACUUAAUAUAAAAGAAUUAAAUUGUAAAUAAAAAAAAUUAAGUGAACAAAAAAACAAAACAUUACGAGUGACUAUGGCAAUCUACAAGGACUGUUACCUUUCUCUUGUAUUGCAUUUUUAUUUUUUUAGUAUUUUUUUUUCAUAUUACCUUGUAUGUUUAUAAUUUUAAAUACUAUUUUAUAGUUUAUUGAAUAUUAAUUUUAUAAAAUCAAACUAUAAUUAUUAAAUAGGAAGUAAAAAGUAUAAUAAAAAUAAUUUAUUUUUAAAAUUAGAAUAUUAAAACCAUCUAAAAACAUAAAAAAUUUAUUUUAAAUAAAAAAAUUUAAAAUUUUAAAAAAUACUGUUCACUGCGUUCCAUCAAGUCAUCAGAUUCAAAUAUUUCAAUAUACAAUGGGCUCUAUACGGCCCAAUAUUGAUUGCAGAAUGAAGUGGUCAGGCCCAUUUAUGCCCGGUGAAGCCGUCAUGCCCGUCUCGCCACAGCCGUCCUCGAUUCCAAACUAGUCUUCAAGAAAGCAGUGCAGUGCAGUGUCACAUUAAGUAUAUUUUAAUUCUUCUUCUUCUUCAUCAUCAUUAGUUCUUCGGUUUUGUUUGUUGAUUAAUCUCUGCGACUGCUCAUUUAGUUUUUUUUUUCUGUCGUUUUUGAAUAUUUCUAUUAUUAUUUGAUUUGCUUUAGUUUCUCUUCUUCGAUUUACUCCGUCAGGUAGUUUGUUGGUUUCACCACUAUGCUUGUACUGGUUGCUAGUAAUACCUGGCCAUGAGCAUCGUUAUUCCUUUCUUCCAUUUUUUUUCUUUUAGGGUUUAGGUUUUUGCUUCGGCUUUCAAUUUCAAACACCUCUUAUGUAAUAAAUUGAUAGAAAAUUAAAUAAUUAAUCGACAAAUCUAAUUUCAGUUUAGGGUUGUGCAGCUGCAAGUAGAGAGAUCCGUGUAUCCAUAAUAAUUAAUAACUAACAAUGGACACUGGUGGCAACUCUCUCUCGUCCGCUGCUCCUGACGGGGUUAAGAGAAAGGUUUGCUAUUUCUACGAUCCAGAAGUCGGCAAUUACUAUUAUGGCCAAGGUCACCCCAUGAAGCCCCACCGCAUUCGAAUGACCCAUGCUCUGCUUGCCCACUAUGGUUUGCUUCAGCACAUGCAGGUCCUCAAGCCCUUUCCUGCUCGCGACCGGGAUCUUUGCCGCUUCCAUGCCGAUGAUUAUGUCUCUUUCCUCCGCAGCAUUACCCCUGAGACCCAGCAGGACCAGCUCAGGCAGCUCAAGCGCUUUAAUGUCGGUGAAGAUUGCCCUGUUUUUGAUGGCCUCUACUCCUUCUGCCAGACUUAUGCUGGUGGAUCUGUUGGUGGUGCCGUCAAGUUAAAUCACAACCUCUGUGACAUUGCUGUCAAUUGGGCUGGUGGCCUCCAUCAUGCUAAGAAGUGUGAGGCUUCUGGUUUUUGUUAUGUCAAUGACAUCGUGCUUGCAAUCCUGGAGCUUCUUAAAGUGCAUGAGGUUUUUUACCAUCCCUCUCUCAGCUAUAGACGCUAACAUAGUUGCUCAAUAUCACCUUUAAAAAUGCCCGGUUUUUUUUUUAGGAAAGCCUUGGUUUAAUUCAAUCUCUUCUAAUCGCUACUCCAAAAUUGAACGGCACUUAUUGUAUCAUUAUUUUUUCACUUAGGUUUUCAGGUCUAAUCUUAUAAUCAGAUUUUUUUUUCCUUUCCAUGUCUUUGCAGCGUGUUCUGUAUGUGGAUAUCGACAUUCAUCACGGUGACGGUGUGGAGGAAGCAUUUUACACCACUGAUAGAGUCAUGACUGUUUCAUUCCAUAAAUUUGGAGAUUAUUUUCCCGGCACUGGGGAUGUACGUGAUAUUGGAUAUUCAAAAGGAAAAUACUACUCUCUUAAUGUUCCGUUGGAUGAUGGGAUUGAUGAUGAGAGCUAUCAUUUCUUGUUUAAACCACUAAUUGGAAAAGUAAUGGAAGUUUUUAAGCCAGGCGCUGUGAUUCUCCAAUGUGGUGCCGACUCAUUAUCCGGGGAUAGAUUAGGAUGCUUCAAUCUUUCAAUCAAGGGCCAUGCAGAGUGUGUUAAAUUUAUGAGAUCUUUUAAUGUGCCAUUAUUGCUAUUGGGUGGUGGUGGCUACACCAUUCGAAAUGUCGCUCGCUGCUGGUGCUAUGAGGUAUGAUUUUCUUGGUAAAUGAUCCUUUGUUGUUUUGCAUUUGAAACGUAUCUUUCUCAAUUAUUUAUGAAUUUGAUUUGAAGUAAUUCUUUUAAUAUCUUCUUUUAACCUACUAAGUUUUUGAUGCGUCUAAUACAUGGCAGACUGGAGUUGCACUUGGAAUAGAAGUUGAUGAUAAGAUGCCUCAGCAUGAGUAUUAUGAGUACUUCGGUCCAGAUUAUACUCUUCAUGUUGCCCCUAGCAACAUGGAAAAUAAGAAUUCCCACCAGGUACUUGAGGAAAUACGGUGCAAGCUCCUUGAUAAUCUUUCAAAGCUUCAGCAUGCACCCAGUGUCCAAUUUCAGGAAAGAGUACCUGAUACUGAGCUUCCGGAGGUAUCCUUUGCUUAUUUUUAUAAAGACAAAAUAGGUGGCAUUGAUUCUAAUUGUUCUCACAAUUCACAACUAAGAUUUUACAGUUUAUCUACUUGGGCUUCACAUUUAAACUCUUUUUAAUAGUCUAGGAUUAACUUGUUUUAUAGUUCAUGAAUAGAAUCAUGUCUGCUAAUUGAUACUAAACAAUAUGUCAUGAUUUAUUGAGAAUGAUCAGGCAGAAGAAGAACAGAAUGAAGCAGAUGAGAGAUGGGAUCCAGAUUCCGACAUGGAUGUUGAUGAAGAACGGUAUUUUUUGUUCUACCAAAAAAAGGGAGAAUAAGUUUUUAUAGAUUAUUUUAUGUCUUCUGUUUACUAAUUUACCUCUAUAUACAGCAAGCCAUUACCAGGCAGAGUCAAGAGAGAAAUAGUUGAAGCUGAGCCAAAAGAGUCGGUAUGAGGAAUUACAAUUACCUCUUUAUCUUUUCAGAAUUUUAAAUUCAUGAUGUUGGCCUAUGAAUGGACUUUUCCUGAUACUCAUCAACUGUCUUAACCCAUAACCUUAACAAGAUAUCCUUUUUUUCUGGUUCUGAAAGGGGAGAAAGAAUUUUGAUAGUUAACUUUUGAGAAUUUAUCCCAGGUGAAUUUGGCAGGAAGAAGUUGCAUCAUCUGCUUUCUUCAACCAAUGAUAAUGCUAAUGCUGCUGUAACUAUUAAAACAAUUUUUUUUUUUUGGGGGGGGGGUUGAAUUAUUAUUAUCUUCCCUCAACACAAGAUCUCCUUGUGUUUUUUCCCAAAAGCAAGAUUACAAAAUAUUCAUCGGUACAUAUUCCAGUUUUGAAUAUUUUUCACAUUCCUUUUCACAGGAGGGCCAGAAAGGAAGUUCUGGGCAUGCUAGAGGCUUUGAUACAACAAUAGCCGAGAAUGCAAGUGGAAAGGUGAGCUUAAUGCGCACUCCUGCAAGAAAAAUCGAAUAUGAAACACACAAUGCGUUACUGUUUAUAGAUUACUCAGCACACAAAAUUCUCAAGGGGACUUGCUUCUAUUACUCACAAGUUUUACUGAUUGGCAUAAACACAUGCAGGCUCUGGAUGCUGGUCCUAAGCAAAUUGAUGAGGCAGGUGUGAGAGUUGAGCAGGAGAAUGUGAACAAGGCAUCUUCUGAUCAGAUGUUCUCCAAGUCAUGAGUAAAAAGUACCAUUCCACAAACUGUUCUAAGUUUGUGUAUGGUUUCUCGAGCUCUGCAUAUACGAAUACAAACUUGUAAAAGCCUUGAAAACCUGAAUGGUUUCAUCUCUGAAUACGGGUUAUUUAGUUAAUGCAAUGUGUACUGGAUGUUAUGGAAACUUCGAUUUGAAAUUCAAAAUAGAGAAAAAAAAUAUUUAAUGGAAUUCAAUUAUUUUUUUUCUUAAAUAAUUAGUGAUGAAAAUUGUGAUUGUUUUACCUAGAAGCAGCAUAUUGUUGGAUUUCCCAGCGUGUAUGAAGAGUAUAUUUGGACACAACACCCCUACAAAAGAUUGAAGUCUUUGAAAGUGAAAUUCACACCAGGUUCAUUGGUGACCCCUGCCACUGUGAAGCCACCCGUACUUGGAUUUCCCAGCAUGUAUAAGAAUAGGUAGACGGUUAUGGUUAUGUAUAAGAAUAGGUAGACGGUUAUUGUUUUGACAUAUUAUGUUUUUUAAAAUAUUUUUUAUUUAAAAAUAUAUUAAAAUAAUAUUUUUUUAUUUUUUAAAAAUUAUUUUUAAUAUUAUUGUAUUAAAAUAAUAUAAAAAAUUAAAAAGAUAUUAAUUUAAAGUAAAAAAAAAAUUAACUUUUUUAAUAAAAACAAACAAGAUCUUAUUCUUUUGAUUUUCUGACAUGUGCACUGGAAGCUAUAAUUCAAAUUUUAACGGUUUUUAAUGGAAGAAUAUAUUUAAAAGUAUAGUAAUAGUUGUUUUUUAAAGUAUUUUUUAUUUAAAAAUAUAUUAAAAUAUUUUUUUUAUUUUUAAAAAAUUAUUUUUUAUAUUAAUAUAUUAAAAUGAUUUGAAAAUAUUAAAAAUAAAUUUGAAAAAAUUUAAAUUUUUAUAAAACACAGUUUAAAAGUCAGUUCCAAAAAAUUUCAAAAAAAUAGCCUAAGAGACUUUGGCUCCAAAGUCUACAAUGUAAAAUAUGACACAAAUGUAAUAGUUGACGGGCGUAUGCUGCCUGCCAUUGCACCAAAUAAUUUGAGACAAAUGCAGGAAACCAAGCUGAUUUGAGUGGUAUAGCCAGAGCAGAGCAGAGCAACUUUGUACUUGCUGUUGCAGUGAUCGGGUUAGCACUCACAUCAAGUAUGUAUACUUAGAUAGAUUAUCAACGCAAAUUUCAAUGACAAAGAUAGACAUGGACCACGAGAAAACAAAAGAUAAAAAGCCACCGAAAGAAGAAGCACCAAGUUGAAGCACCCCCAAGGCCAACCAGUAGCACAGGCCACCAUUGUUUGAGAAACCGACAAUCCAACAGCAGGCACCGUCAUUUCAGGACCCUUACUGUAUCCUUGCAGAGGUUAAGUUUUCAUCCUAUUCCUGCUGUUACUCUCAACUCAAUUAAUGGCAUAUGGAUUGCAGGGGAUGGUCCUUCCUCUCUCUAUGAUGCUGUCCAGCUCCACUGUCACUAAAACGAUAACACAGCCUCUGCUAGCCUCAAACUGGUAUUAAAAACUAGGAAACUAUUAGCAUCAGCCAAAUAUCAUAUCAAGGCAGACUGACUCCUCAUCCUUGUAUAGAGGCCCGGUCUUUCUAACAUGGGAUGCUAUCUGAGGGAUUCUCUGGUCGCUAGGGCUCUGUAAACAUCCACCAAAAACAUAAAAUAAAUCGGUCAGACAACAUGGUAGGAAGGACAGUGGUAAUACACUAACAACUUAAUUGACAUUUAAUUUCUUUCUCUUUUUCUUCUCAUACACGAGGAAAGAGAAGCAGGUGUUCUACUUUUUUAAACCAGAUUUUAUCCUUGUUUUGAUUACCCAAUAUUACAGCACAAAACAUGAUUAAUAUUGUUGAAACUGCAAUGGCAUUGAUAGAGUCAAUUAGAAGUAAUGAGAACGAAGAAAAGCAUGACAUGACCAUAAAUGAGCAUUAACGCGACCAGCCAGUUAGUUGCAUAUAGCAAGUGAUGUUUAGUAUAGUUACUAGCUAGUGGAAGUGCUGUCUUCGCUAAAUGUUGUGUAGAAACCUGAAAGUCACGCUGAUACAUUCUCUGUCCAAAAGGCCUACUGGUUGCCUCUUGUGAUCUUCAAUAUGUUCUGAAACAACGGGAACCUGAUUCACACCAUGCCUAUCCAUGAUGAUCUGCACUGAGAGAAGAUCCAUACUAGGCUUUGCGAUCCAGGGUACUUGACAUCUUUUUCCAUCUAAGGAACACAAUUCAGUUACUAAAAGCUCCUGAUACAGAAACAGCCAAUCAAUCAAGAUUAGUAGACGGAUGUGGUAAUUGCAACAAGCUAUUAACAUGGCAGGUGCUUUAGGAACUCUAAAGUAAAGACCAAGUCAUCAACACCUUUAAAUUGAAUCUAUCUGUUCCUGUAGUAUGCAGGCAGAAUACCGAUAUUUCAGUAAUACCCAAUAUCAAUGUACAGAUAAAUUUAAAAUUUCCAUUUGCAGCAUAAUUAAGCAGUGCUUGUUAAAAAAGAUUUCUACCAAAGCAUGCCUACUUGAAGAACAUAAUGGAACCAUUUACAUUUUGUCUUCUGUCUUAAUUUGAUUUUAGAAUCCUUAACCAAGUGAUUUUUUUUAUUUUUUUGGCCUUUUUUCACAUUUAUGACAUCUAAACCUUUUCAACACAGCAGAACAAACAACUGAAAGUUAUGGGGUGAUGAAAAUUUGUUCAAGGAAGGGUCCCAUACCUUGGUUAUCCUGUUUUCAGACUUUAUAAUUUUGCUAAAAUCAUCAAUGUCGGCAAGAGUCAGCAAACCAAUUAAAAUAUUAUUGUCAUCAACAACCAUUGCACAAGACUGCUUUUCUGCAAGCAUAAGACUCACUGCUUCAGUGAGUAAAGUGCUCAUGAGAACAGUUACAUAUCUUGUUCUCAUGGCUUCUGAAACUAAAACGUUCUUCUCGAAAACUUCAGUUUCAAUACUAGAAUCAUCUAUGCAGAGAGAACUUUCAAUUUCACAAGGGUUAUUUUCAUAAGGUGCCUUUUCGGUAAGUGCAUAAUCAGAGGACAGUCCACUUGUCUCGGAGGAAGACAUUUCAGGUUCUUGAGUUGGGCGCCUGUUUCCCUCAUUGAGUUUUGUGGUACCUUUGCCAUCCCUUCUUCUUUUCUGUCCAGAUGUGACCCAUGAGGACAACCCUACAGCUCCGAGUAGUGGUAGAACUAUUCGAUAGUCUUGUGUCAAUUCAAAGAGCAGCAAAACUGCAGUAAGAGGUACCUGACACACCCCUGCAAGUGUCGCAGCCAUUCCAACCUGAAACGGGCAUCUCCCAAUGAUCAAUGGCAUUAUGCUUUUUGAUGAUUUAGAGUAUUCAAUCAAAAAAGGUUUACAUGUAUGGAUGGCUAAAUGUGCUCAACAAAAAAUCAUUUCAACAAUGCAUGAUGAUUCCAAGCUACCUUGUGGUAGGCAUCUCUGUCCAAAGGUGCCUUUGUAACUUAGUUGCCAACUAUAUCAGUAGCCUUAGAUGAGAAAUUAAGAUGCCUUGUGAGAGAUUCAAUCAUGAUAGCUUUCAUUUAUGUUGAAGGCAUCAUGUAACUUAACAGAACCGUCAUCAAUCAAUUAAUACUCAAGCAUUUAGUUCAAAAGGAGUAGCUUUGUUUUAGCUUCCAUUAGUUUACAGCCAAUAGAUAAGAAUGUUUUAUCCUGAUUACAUAUAUUUUUAUUUGAAUAAAGUGAGAACUUCCCAGCACUCACUGCAAUUUUUUUCUUCUGUUCCAUCUUGAAUCUUGUUAUCUUCCAGAGAUGAAUCUUUUUAUAUAUUUACUUAACUAUAAUUACACAAAGAACAUAGCAGCAAGGUUAUGGUGUACUUGAUUUCAGUAGAGAUUAACUUCAGGGUGGGUCUGCUCCUGUUGAGACUAGUUAUUGUUCAUCGAAAGCCAACAAAGGGAGCAAGGAAUUUCUGUGGUGAUCUACUCCCUACCAUUUAAUAAUAUAACAAUUGUCAGGAAACAUGAAAGCUUUGCAUUCUCCUUUUCAGAAAGUGAACUAAUAAAGCCACAUCAAUCUACACUUCUUUGUCCUAAGCAGUGGCAAUAUAUAUGCUGACGGGGGAUUAUUGAGUUUUGUGAUGCAUACCAUAGUGAGUUAUCAUUGUGCAAGGACCAUAAAAACCAGUAGAUAAGAACUUGAAUAUAAGAAAUUAUGAUGCUGUAUAAUCAUGCAUUAUAAUAGUACCAGCCCAUAAGCUUGUGGUGAUGCCACUUCCAAGAAGGAUAGUUGAAGUGUGGGACUAGACUGAGCAACUGCAAUAUUAAUGAACUUCCCAUAUGCCAUUCCAGUUGCAGCACCGAUAAAGAGGGAUGGGGCAUAGUAGCCUCCUACUAAUCCAGAGGCCCGGCAUAAGGAGGUUGCAACUAUCUUGACUCCUACAAGCUGAAGCAAUAGGUCAGCUGAGAGGCCCUGGACAAAUGGCCGAGAUUCCAACAAAAUGUCAACAUUCUCAAAACCCCAGUAUAGGAUUUCAGGAUAUGCCAAAGCUAUGGUGCCAGUAGCCAAACUACCUAGUACAGGAAACGCAGCACUUGGAAUACCAACAGUGCGGUGAAGAUGAUUGACAGUUGAGAGCAUGAAGGAUGUGCAUCUAGAUAAGGUCAAUGAAACCAAGCCGCAGAGGAUACCCAGCAAAAGAUACAGUGGAAGUUCUGAAAAUGAGAUGAAUAAUAGCUAGCUUUUUUAGGCUUUAAUAGUAAAUGAUAAAAGCUUGAAUGAUUAAUUAAAAUACAAGCAAAACCAACCAAUCAACGUAGAAGAAAUUACGUUGACAGCAUGUGCUACUAGUAAUUGAAUCUUUUUACUUACCACUCGGGGAGCGGAAGUCAUAGUCGGGGACCUUAAAAGCUGGUUCAGAACCAAGAUACGACAGCGCUAAGUAUAACCAUAGAAGUGGUGUUUGUGAGUGAUGUUUUUGAAUCACUUGGAGAUGGCCACAACACCGACUCCACAGCAAAAAAACAACCAGCAACAGCCGCAUUGAAUCCUGUUUUUCCGCAUUGAAUCCUGUUUUUCUGCAUUGAAUCCUGUUUUUCUUUUUUAAAUUCUUUAGGAAAUAGAUAAUAAUUGACUUCUUUUUUGUAAAACAAACAAACCAGACGAGAUUCCAGCAGCAGAGCCAGCAGCUAGGAGGGAAAGUUUUGUUUGAUUAGAAUUGUGAUUAUUAAUGUGAUUAUUAAAGACAGCGAGAGAAGCAAUUCCUUUGGCUACGGAAGCACCAAUCUCGACACUAGGACCUUCGGGGUACCAAGAGUGAAACAAGCAGCCAACGUUUUCAAGAAACUAGGAGCGGCGGCGACAGCAGCCACUGGUAGUUGUAGCCAUCCUUUUUUAUCGUUUUUAUUAGUAGUACUACUACUACUGGUAAUAAUGGUUGUUUGAAGGUGGUUCAAGAUGCUAACGAUCAAGCCGCCACAAGCAGGGACGGAGACAACUCUUAACCAGUUAGAGUCGAGAGGCUCCUCUCUCAACCAGGUAGCACCCCUAUAAGGAAUUCCAUCCCAGAAAAAGUCCCGUAUUUCAUGCACUGCGUUGUUGAACAGCACUACAGCUAUCCCAGUCAAAAGACCCACCAAGCAAGAUGUUAUUAUUAUACCGGAAUUACCACCACCACCACCACCAUCAUUUAUCUUUCUGAUCAGUUUUGGCUUUUGAUUUUCAUCGUCUUCAUUGCUUGCAGUUGCAGUAACAGUAGCAUUAACAGUACUAGUGUAAUCUCUUCUUCUCUCAGCUGGGGUUAACGGGGCUGGGAGGGCAGUGGGGAUCCCAAUCUUUUUGUACUGGUAAUAGCGAUAAUUUGAAGAGGAGGAGAACAAUCGGUUUCUUCUGGAGAGGGAGAGGGAGAGGGAAGCAGAGAUGAGCAGUCGUGGAGGCAAUGCACUUCCCAUUGAUAUCCAAUUUGAUAUUACCUUCUUCUACAUCCUCCACCUAUCCAAUUCAUAUAUCCUAUCCAUCGUCAUUAUCUUCGUUAAGUUUUACUAACGGAUCUUCUCUAAUCCAUUCAUACUUUGGAUAAUUAGUGUUUUUUUUUUUUUAAAAGCCUCCUUAUAUAUAUCAUUCAAUUAUUUAUCGUAAUUUUCUUUCGAGUUUUGAUAGAUUUUAUAAAGUUAUUUGAAAAUAAAAAGAAAACAAGUAUUUAUUAAGUUACGAUUUAUAAUUUAAAUUCUGUAUUUUUUUUAAUUCCAAGUUUUCUUUUUCUUAUUAAUGCAUAUUUUUUAGCAAUUUUUUAUUUAUAUAAUAAAAACUAAAAAUAAUUAAAAUAAAUAUCCUAAAACUUAUUAGUGAUUUUAAAUAAGAGAGAAAUGUAUCUUUUUAAUAAAAACCUCCUUCCUCAUGCUUUUUUUUUCUUUCACGGAACAUAUAUGUUUCAUUAAAAGGCUAACAGUUUAUUAAAAUUUUAAAAAUAAAUUUUAAUUUUAAAAAAAAACAAAUCAUGAAUCAAUAAUUUUAACACAAAUAUAUUGAAAAUAUAAGAAUAAUAAUCAUGCAAGGAAUUAUAUAAAAAAGUUUACACUAAAAAAAUAACAAAAUAGAUAUUUCAUCCACAUUAAAUAUAAAUUUCUUAAAAAAUUAUGUAUAUUAGUAUCAUAUAUAAUUAUUUGAAAAGUAAUGCUUAAUAUUCUCCUAAAAUACUCUCAUAUUAUUUGAAAAUUAUGAUAUUAUUUUAAAAAAUUUAUUUUAAAAAAUCUCGUUAUAUAAUGUAAAAAAAUAAAUUUAAGUUCAAGUACGCACACCUAACCCACAAGUAAUACCCAGGCAUGCCUUGUUUUUUUAAAGUUAGGGUGACUUGUCACUGUUUAGGCUUUUUAUUAUUUAAAAACAAAAAUCUGUGGUGUAAAUAUUGUGCAAUCAGCACUGUUCAUCACCUUAUAAAACAUCGUGAUGGCCCUGUUUAUUUUUCAAAUAUUUAUUUUGGUCCUCAAAGAGUGGAUGACCCAACUGGUUGAGCGUUGACCAAAACGGUGGAUAAUCUGUUUUCGUAUCAGCAGAACUACCUCAGGAACACAAAAUGAAUGUUGGGAUUUGUUGAUGUUAAAACCCAGGCAUCAGAAGCAAAAACAAGAAAAUAAAUAAAUAAAAUACAGUAUCCAAUCAAAACCAUUUUCGAGAUGUUCUCAGUUGUAGAUAAUGUAUGGAGCAUGGAAUAGAACAUUUCAUCGCAUGCCUAUCUAAUCCCAGAUACACAAGACAGAAUAAUUAUGCCACCAAUCACAAAACUCAAGAAGCAGCAAUCAGAUGAUAAUAAAGACAUCAAAUUGUUUAAAACGCUCGAGUCCUAUGACAUGCCAAGUUACAGGAAGGCAUCCUUCUCGAGCAACUUUAGCACCUCUUGCUGGUUGUUGAGUUUAGCAACAUCAAUGGGCGUCUUGCCAUCCAUGUUCUGAAGUGUACUGUAGUUUAACCCAAAGAGAGAUUCCAUCAUGACAGGAAAAAUCACAUGAAGCCAUAAAGGGAGGGCAUUCCUAACUGAGAGCUAUUGACUUACACUGCAGCGCCAUUUUCCAGUAAAAGGGCUACACACUCCUUUCUUCCAUAACCAGCUGCAUAAUGGAGUGCCGUGUUCUUGUUCUUAUCCAGUGCAUCAACAGUUGCCCCGGCCUCGAGAAGAAUUUGGGCACACUUCACCUGAAACAAAUUGAAAGCAGCUGCUUGUUGCUUACAAUAGCAAUUUGACCAAUUUGCAUAAAUUUCCAAUAAUGUCUGACGGCCCAAUGAUUCUGCAACUAGAAGGGGCCCAAACCAAGAGGUCAGCUAUAGAUCACUGACCAAUCUAACAUCUAGCCUUUUAUCAUUGUAAGCCAACUAGGGAGUUCAUUUUUUGCAAUGUGCCAUGGCAACUACCAAGUACCAGCGCAGGUAUUCAUGAACUCUUUCUAGCAGCAUACCAUAAUAGGUUCCUGAAGUCACCUCUAACGAUUACUUGUCUUGAUAAUAACAAAAAAACCAAGAUCAACCGCUGAAGAGGGGAGGGGCAAAAAGCAAGAGUCUACACCACACACAAACAACAGAGCAGUAGUUUAGAAAUAAUGAUACCUCCCCAUAUCCGCAGGAAAAAUGCAAUGCAGUUCUUCCCUCUGAAUCUUCUUCAUCCUUGUCAGCACCAGAGGCUAGAGCAUUUUUCAAACCCUAAUUGGAGAGUGCAUAUAAAAUUUUGAGCUAAAUUUGCAAACGGUAUCUCCAAUUGAUCUGACUUAAAUAGAUAGAACAGAGAAGCAUUGGAUAUUUACAUGGAGGCAAAAGAAAAUUAUAUUGAACAUCAAAGGAGGAAAAAAAAUGAUCCACCUCCCGCAGACUUUAGAGAAAUAUUGAAUUCUCCCAAUGUAGUCAAAAUGACCAAGUCAGCGGUCAUUGGACUUCUCUAAAAUGAACUAACUAGCAUUGGGCCAUGCUCAGAUAUUUACAAUAGAAAUGGAAGAACAAUGGGGACCAUAAUAUCCAACAAAAUAUUCACAAGAUUAAUGGAAACAUGAAUAACGAGUGUACAUGUCGUAUGAUAAAAAUUAUAUAUAAUACACUAAAGUCAAGGGCCACAUAAAUGCUCUACAUCUUACCAAGUAAAACAAUGUCACUAAAAUCUAUAGAGAUGAAAGAACAAAAUACCAACAUAAAAAUGAAAAGGUAUAUAUAUUCAGUUUUCCAUUCAGCAUUCACCAUGUGGUCUCCACAUUUAAACUAAUCCAAAGAUCAAGCUAAAAGUGUUAAGGAGCUUCAACUAAUUGCUAAACGAACAUGAACAAGUCACGUAUCUACAGCUACCAACAAAGCUCAAAAUGUCAAAAGCUGUGCAUGGGCUUAAAAGAGAGUGAUGAGAAGAAACCAUCAAAGUCUUAAGAAAGUUCCAGGGGUCAUCAUUGUCUAAUAAUGCUGCCAUGACAGUAGGUCUUGUGGUGUGUCGAAAUAGAAAUCUGUGCCUAUAUCCUCUCUCAUCAUAUCAAAUUGGGCACUCGUCCACAAAACAUUAGCAAAACACUUCCAGUAACAGUAAUUAGACAAUUUUCAAUACUUUCAGCCAGUCUAGGCUGCAAACGCUUUAACUGAUAGAUAAGACGCCAUCCAUUUAAUGGGAAAGAAAAGCAAAAACAAUUUAAAUGAUGUAAUUAUAAAUAAAGGUGGCAUCCAUCAGGGGAAAAAUAGAUAAGGUUAAGUGUGUCAAAUCUGCAAACAAGGCAGCAGGCAAUCAAAAGCGAAUUGUACCCUACCUCAACAUCACCAACACUGGCACAGUGAUGGACAACUGAUUCAUCCUCAUUUCCUGCUUCUUCUGCUUCCUCGUGUCCAGAAGUUUCCACAGAAGUGCCUGCUUCUUCGGAAACUGCAAGACCCAUUGCUUCACCCAACUUCUGGAGAACGUCUUUAUCAUUCCAGUACCUAGGCAAGCAUAAUUUGACUGUCAGUAAGUUGAGAAAAUAAAACUAACUUAAAUGAUCCAUCUUUGCUAAUAUCAAGGCAGGAGAACAUAGCAACAAUCUUCUAGUUUUUCCCCAUUUUUAUAAGCAAGUAAUAGUAAAAUACUAGAUAUUACGAUUACUAACCUCAUCAUGGCAGCUGGACCACCGGACUCUAUCUCUUCUAAAAUAGGCUUUAAAGAAGGAUCUUCUCUUAUUCGUGUCAUUCGCUCCUCAAUCUGAUCCUUUUGCGAUGGGUUUGUGAAACUCUCAAGCAUUUGAGACAUUGAUGGAUCCUGAGGAUUGAUAGGGAAAAAAUUAGCCUUUCAUCAGGACUUACAAUUAAACAAUGAAUAGGAAUAUGAGACAAGCCAAAAAAAAAACAGAUAUACCUGCAUUAAUGCAGUGCCAAGGUGCUCAGCCAUAGUCAUAAAUUGAGGAUUCUGCAUAACCUGUUGCAUGGUUGAAUAGUAUUGUUGAGUAUCAAAGUUAGGGAUAGCAUCUUCGGCUGUCGCUCCUUGAAAAGUCUUCUGGAGCUGCUCUGCCAUCUGGUUGAAUGAAGGAUCUUUGGCUAUCUGCUCGGCUAACUCCUUGAUGCUCGGGUCCUACAUAUAUCAAAGCAUAGACAUCUAUAAACCCUUAGAGAAAUAUGGCAAAAUUGUUCAAUAUUAGAGUGAAGUAAGAACAAGUUCGCAAAAUGAGCUUCAAUGUGAAAAGUGGAUUUAGCUUAGGACACGUGGGCAUAUUAGAAGGCAAGACCUUCACCGCCAAAAUGAUAGCUUAUCUAAUGUUUUUACUCCGCAAAUGAAAUUGAAAACAAAGCAAAGAACUGAAGAGUAAAAAUUAGUAAAUGCAAUGGAAAUUGACAAACAUACAUUAAGCAGGCCAGUCAUAGCAGAGAAAUCAAAAGGACUAGGAGGAAAUCCAGCAGCAGCAGCAGCAGCACCUCCCAGUCCAGGAGAUUGAGGAGGAGGAGCUCUUCUUUGUUCCCCAGAGGUUGAGGAGGUUUCUGAUGAUUUAGAUGAGGAGUCUUUGCUGUUAUUUUCUGCACCCGAAGCCGAACCUGUUUUCUCAUCUAAUAACAAAGCAAUUUGCGAUUCGAGUGAGCGAGUCAGUCGAGGUUAUCUCGCAAGCACAAUAACGACAGCAGCAACGGAUCCAUCCAGGAAAUUGAAAGGACGGUAGAAAGCAUACCAGAUGGAAUAGUGGCAUCCUUGUUCGUGGUCGCCAUGACGAACAACAAGCUAAGCUUAAUGAAAAUUAUGCAAUCGAAGAAAGGAGAGGAUAGAUUUUUAUCUGAAGACGAUAGACAGAAGAAGAAAUCGAAUCGAAUCGAGUAAUUACUUUUUAUACAUAAAUAAUAUUACUUUGCUAAUUAUAAAACUAGAAGCAGGUAGGACUAAGAGGAUUACCAGGCAGAGGCAGGCAAUCAAGGCAGCGUGUGUGAAUUGAUGGUUUCAAGAAAGGUAUCUGCCACCACACAGCUCAAGUAAGAAGAAGAAGAAGAAGAAGAAGAAGCGUGCACGACGACAAGGAAAGGAUUUGAUUGAAUUGAAUACAAACCAAGCUUAUUGUUAGUGGGCCAUCUCAAUCCUCAUCUUGUCAUCGAACCAGUGGCUUAUGUAUCGGUUACUGCCACCGCUGUCUUCCUUUUUUGUGUUUUUUUUCCUUACUAGCAGGCCCGAACCCGAUGACCGGAUUCAUGAAUCGAUGGGCCGACAAUAUUUGAGAUUGGGCCUGUGUACAUGUUCUGUUUACCCUUCACAGGUAUGAUAAUUAAUUUCCUUGAACAGUUGCCUGAUUUUGCCUCAAUUUGAUUGUGAGGUGAAACAAUUUGAGUAUGCAUAAUAAAAGGCCUUAGUAUCUCUAUUAUUGUUUACAUAAACACAAACUAUUGUGGAUUGAAGUAGUGUAAUGGCAGCCCAGCCCUUAACACAAAAAGUUGCAAGGGCAGCGGGAGAUGGGUGAGGUUAUCUUUUUCGCUGAGGUGCAUUUGGCAUUAAAGGGAUGGUUGGGGAAAAAAUGAUCAGCACAAGUUUUGGUGAGGCUGCAGGCCAUGGAGAGCGGGCACCUGGCGCUUGGGCUGCCUGGCCUUUGCGCGAGGCAGACCCGAUCACCACAGGGCGUAUGGGCGGCCCUGCCCUUGCGCGGGGCAGACACGAGCGCCACCUGGCGCUUAGGUCUAAAAAAGGGGUAGCACUGAAAAUCUUCUCUUGUACACCAUAUGUGGCUUGAACUUGUCAACUUGAACACUGUGCAUAUGAGAAGUGUCAUCAAAAGAAGGCAAAUAGACAAAAGAGGUGGUUAAUGAUGAAGGCAAGGGAAAGAAACAUUGAUUUUCAAAGAAAAUAACAUUUCUGAAAACAUGAACCCGAUUGGUGUGUGGAUCAAAACAUAGAUAACCCUUUUGAGUGACACUAUAUCCAAGAAAGGCACAAUGAAUUGACUGAGCAGAAAGUUUAUUUCUAUGAGGUGAAGGAAGAUGCAUGAAGCAUAUAUACCCAAAGGUGUGAAGAUUUGUGUAUAUAGGAUGACAAUGAUAAAGGCAAAAAUAUGGAGACUUUAGACUUAAGAUUUGUGAAGGAAGUCUAUUGAUUAGAUAAGUUGUUGUAGUGAGAGCUUCUACCCAAAACUUAUAAGGAAUAAAAGUUUCAAUGAGCAAGGUCCGGACCACAUCCAAAAGAUGGCGAUUCUUGCAUCCCGCUACUCUAUUUUGUUGAGGAGUAUAGGAACAUGAUCGUUGAGAAAUGAUACCUUUAGUUUGCAAGAAAGAUUGGAGAUCAUUAGAUAUAUAUUCCUCACCUGAAUCUGAUCUAAAAAUUUUAACAGUGGCAGAAAAUUGAGUGUUAACAAGUAUCAAGAACAGUUUGAACAUAGAGAAAACUUAUGAUUUGUUCCACAAGAAAUAGACCCAUGUAUAGCGACUGUAGUCAAGGUUGUCAAAAUCGUGAGUUGACUCGUAAAAUUAUAUUAUUUUACGAGUUAACAUGUAUAUAACGGGUAAAAUCGGGUCAAAAACUCAAAAACCAGCAAACUCGAUGAAACUCGUUCAACUCGGUAAACUUAGACCGAGUUUACGAGUUUGACAAAAGUAAAAAAAUUAAUUGACUCCCCUCCCCGUCAGGCCAUCACUCAUUCACUCUCUAGACUUCAGUCGUCUCCCCUUUCCCCUUUCUCAAAUCUCAAAUUCCCGUAACUGGUUCCACAACUCUCUCUCUCUCAAAACAACCAUUUUUUUCUUUAAUUCGUUGGCCUCUGUUCUUCCUCAAGUCUCCUGACUCUCCACUCUCCAUCUUUUGUGCUCUCGUGCCUCACCUCUCUAUAACAGGUUAGUUGUUUUUCUUGACAUAAUUGAUUCUUGAAGACUUGUUUCUGGAGAUGGGUUUGCUGUAAAAGUCAGAUUGAACAAUCUGGGCACCUUAAUCCUUAUGUUCUAUUUAAGUUCUUCUUUUCUUCCCUUUUUUCUCUAUUAAAUUUAACUUAAUUUAAUGGAAAUCUACAAGUGGAAUUCAGGCCUACUUUGGUUGCUACUAGUGAUUUGUAAUUUUCCAUUGAGGUUUUCCCCACUCUUUGGCUUAAAAUUUAAAAAUUUUGCUUUAUUAUCAGUAAUAUGAAAUAUGUGUUUGUUGACUUGUUCAAUCAAAAGUAAUUGAUUCUUUCUCUUUUAAAAUAUGUGAUCCACAUAGUAAUUUGUUUUCUUAACUGUGUGGAAUACAAUGUUUAGUUUGUUUAUUUGGUAGGAUCUAUGGAUAUUUUAGCUUUUUUUCUUUCGGAACAUUUACUAGCUUAUGAGAUAACUUGAAAUUCCAGGAUAAGGCUAAUUUAUAUUGAUACACAAUCAGGUCCUUUUCCAACGCUCCUUCCUGUCACAUUUUCUUCCCGCCUCUGUCACAUCUUUGCUCUUACAUAACGCAAUAACUUUUUUUCACGGUUUUAUCUAUAAAUCUUUGUUGUUCAUGACUAAACUAUCUUAGGCAACCUGUUUUAAAAUCAUUUAUUCAUUGUCUUAAGGCAUUGCAAUAUUUCUUCAUUUGCCAAUUUAAUGCUUAACUUUUGUAUUGAUGAUUUUUAACAGGAAAGAGACAGAUUAACAUUAAUAUUGCUGAUGGUCAUAAGAGUGAUGAGAUCUUGGCAUCACAAGGUUAGUUCUCUUGCGUGCUGUAAGAAUUUCAUUGAUUACAAGUUUCAUUAGAGACAAUUGUAACUUCUCUAGUAUUAUUUUAAAAUAAAGCACACUUUACUUCUCUAAUGUUCAUCAUCUAAUUACCAUUAUUUCUUUAUGGAAACUCCAUCCUUCUACAGGAGAGAUUAACAAGCUAUCAUUAACAAAGCACAAGGUUAGUUUUCUUAUGUCUGUGUUUGUGCAAUAAUCCUUUGAUGCUCCUCUAUAUUUCAUUUUCUAGACCCAUAAGCCAUUAUAAAAUAUCAGAUAAACAAACAAAUUUCAUGAGGCAAUAUUAUGGUUUACUUGAUACAGUUAUCCUAUAGGUAGCUAAUCUCAUUCUCUUUCAAUCCUUGUCUUUCUUAUGUCUUUCUGUAUUUGUGAAUUACUCCAUUGAUUAUGAUUAGGUUUCAUUAGGAUGACAGUAACAUCGCUAGUAUUAUUUUUUAAACAAACCAUAUGACAUGAGAAUAUUUUUGUUAUAAUCAGACUUUCCAAUUUGUUGAAUCUUUUACAUGACAAUGCUAACACCAAGUUGCACAUAAAAUAGACUGGGCAUUUGGGCUCUUAAUUUUCUCUUCUGACUGCAUUAGAUUGUUAAGUUUGAUGUAAUCCUCUAGCAUUUCAUUUUCUAGACCCAUUAACUGUUCUGAAGUAUUUAAUAACGAACCAGACUUGAUCAAGCAAUAUUAUGGCUUAUCUUUAUAUAUUUUUCUUUGCUUUGCAAUCAUAUUAUUAAUAUUUCAGGUGGCUAAAGCACAAGCAACAGCCAAAGGAAUUACCAUUGUGUUAGAGUAUAUUAAAAAGAGCGGGGGAGUUGAGGUGAAGUUCUUUACUUGGAUUGUGAUAUGGUUGCAUUGAGAUUUAAAAUCUCAUAUAAAAUAGAGAUAUUUCUUAUAUUAGUUAUUUUUACAUGUUUUAUACCAUAUAUAUGAUUUAUGAUUCAAUCAUUUUAGCAUAUGCUAGAGAAUCAGUUGUGCCAUGUCUAAUGUGCAUUAGGGCUCAAGUUUAUGGCAUGAUUUGCAGGCAAUUAGUUUGAAAAUUGAACUACAGUAUACAUGGCAUCUAAAAAAACUAGCUAGUUUUGGAAAUAAUCAUUUAGAUGAUAAAGAUUUUGAUGAAUGUUUUAGAAAUAACGAGGAAGAUAAAGGCAAUGAGGCUGGUUUUAGUUUACAUGACACACCAUCAGAUUGUUUGUUUUAGGUUUAUUAAUUUUUAGUUAAUGAAAUUCUAUGGACAUAAUUGUAUUGUAUUUUUAAGUUAUUUAAACUAUGUAUGAAUUUUAUUUAAACUAUGUAUUUUAAGGUGUUUGGAGUUUUGUAUUGUUUAUUUCAUUUUUAUUUUAAUUGUAUUAUAUUAUUAUUUACUACUUGACUAAAAUUGUCAAUAUAUAAUUAGUUAAAAUAUUUUACUUAUGAUUUUAUGAUUUUACGAUCCGAGUUUAUAUUGUGUAUUCUGUGUCGUGUCAAAAAAAUAUUUUUGAUAACUUUGGCUGUAGUCAUCGAUAAAGGUUAUAAAAUAUCUGUAAUGUGCAUAAGAAAUGACAGAACUUAUUCCCCAAACAUCACUAUGAAUUAUCUCAAAAGGGUUUGUGGCUCUACUGCCUUCAGAAGAAAAGGGUAAAAUUUUACUUCUGCCAAGUUUACAUGUGGCACAAUCAAGGAACAUAGUUAAAGCUGAAUGUUCUUUAUUGUUUAUUAACCUAAAUUUCAAUAAAUGAGAGAAAAAUCUAGGAUUUUGAUGACCAAGACGUUUAUGUCAAACUUCAUUGGACACUUUAGGUGCUGUACAAAAGAAAGAUAAAAUAGAGAAAGGAAGCAAGGUGCGUGGAAUAAGGAGUUGAAGAGAAAAUAGACGUUCGUGUUUAGGCCCCUUCGCUAUUAGCUAUCCUAAAAUCUGAUCCUAUACAAUACAGUCACGAUUAGAAAAGUGUAUGUCACAGUUAUUGUCCACAAGUUGACCUACAAAAGAUAAAUUUAUAGCAAGCUUGGGUGAGACAAAAACAUCCUUUAAAAAAUGAGGUACAUUACCAACAAUCAUGAUGGGAAGAGUACUACCAUUGGUUGUUUUAAUAUGUGAGGAUCCAUAAUAUUUUUGGAUAUUACUUAAGCCACAUAAAGAGUUUUUCAUAUGAUUGGAAGCACCUGAAUCUAAGAUCCAAGAAAGAGCUAAAGAACUAGUACCUCGAAGGCCAAGCGUGGAGGAAGCACUCACAACCAUUUCUUGCACCAUCUCUCGGGUUUGGAAAUUUGCUAGAGGCUGAGUCUAUGAAACAGGGGAACUAACAGCAAUAACAACAACGUGAUAAGCUUUGUUGGAGCAUGAAGGAGGACGAAUAGGACACUCCUUAAUGAUGUGUCCUGGCUGCUUGCAGUAGUUGUAAAAUUUAUGAGGAUAAUAGGGAGCAAUAUGUCCAUACUUUUUACAGCUAUAGCAUUGUGUCUUGCUCAUAUCGUAACUCAUCCCCUUGUUGUAAGCAGCAUAAGCAACUGAGACAGUGGUAGAGAUAACUCUUAUCUGCUCCAUAAUGGUUUAAGUAUGGAGAUACUACUCUUCACGCAAGAGUUCUCCAAAGCAAGCGUCCAAGGAUGGAACAAGAUCGCGAUUGACUAAAGAGGCACGAACUGGUUCAUAUUUUGGUCAUAAUUUCAUCAAAAAUUGGUCUUGUUGGUUGAUUUUAUGGAUUUGCUGCACUGCCAGCAUACCUCCUGCAGAAACCUUGUUUAUAACAAGAUCAGAAUAGUCAUUCCACAAAGUCAGAAAUCCAGAAUAGUAAUCUUGAAUAAAAAGAUCUUGGGUAUAGUUGGCAAUAGUCAACUCAAGCUGAAAACGUCUAGCAUUGUUAUCUUGGUUAUAGACUUGUGUGAGGUGAUCUCAUAUAGCCUUUGCAGAUCUAUGAGGACGCAAAGAAAGGAUCAGAUGUGGCUCCAUAGAAUUGAGAAUCCAAGACAUGAUUUGUGCAUCUUUGGCAUCCCAUUCUGCCUUAGCAACAACAGAUCCUUUAGCAGCUAAGUCUUCUUUGUCAUUGCCAUCUAUGUGGCCUCAUAACCCCUUUUCCUUGAAAAAGAUCUCCAAUUGAAAUGUCCAAGCAGUAUAAUUUUUGCCAGUAAAUCUGACACAACAUUAUCUGACUUCUUCAUAAAGCUAUGACUGAGAAAGAAAACAAAAAACUUAAGAAUUCUGUGAGAAAAGCUCUGAUACCAUAAUAGAAUGGUUUGAAUUGUCUUCAUCUUUAGACUAGUCUUUCAUUAUAUAGGAAAAGUUGUCAUGUACAUAGUAAUUACAAAGAGCAAAUCUAGGGAGCUAUAUAUGGUAAGGUAAAUUUCAUAUUUAUAUCUAGCAUUUAUAGCCUAGAUUUUUAUAGGUACAAAUACUUGUGUGCUUGAUGUCAACCUUUCUAGUGACCUGUAUACUACUUGAUUUCAACUUUUCUAUUGACAAGUUAAGGUAUCAAGCUAGUUAUAAAAAAAUACAGGCAGGGGAAUGAAGAUUUGAAAAGCCAAUUAAGGCCAAGAUAGAAAUGUUCAUGAAGAGUAUAUGUUGGCUAAAAGAGAAGUAAAGAAUGCAGCUGGGGAGAAGGAUGUGUAAAAGUUAUUUUUGUAUGAGGAAUACAAAGAGUUCUAAGAUACAAAACAAAUUACAGUGUAUCAAAUAUGAGGAUGUAAAGAUCUUGGUAUCAAGAAGAUGGAGAAAUUAUUUUGACUAGUUGUUUAAUGAGAUUUAGUUUAGAAACCUUGGAGAUCUCAUCCUAGAGGAAGCAAGAAACCUUAAGUAUACAUAUGGGAUAUGGGUUUUGAAAGUAUUGAGGCUAUGAAGGAAGUAAGAUUCAAAAUUCUUUGUAGGUUUAACAAAAUAACUAUUAAAGUUUCAAGAUUCAUAGAAGUGGAAGUCAUGUGGUUGAUAAAAAUUGAAGUUUCAACCUUAAACAUACAUUUGGGAUUUGAGUUUUGGAAGUAUUGAGGUUCUGAAGGAAUUAAGAUUCAAAAACCUUUGCAGGCUUAACAAAAUAACUAUUGAAAUUUUAAGAUGUAUAGAAGUGGAAGUCAUGUGGUUGCCAAAGUUGUUGAAUGGAAUAUUGAAGAAGGCAUUGGAUGACUAGAAAAAAGUGUUUUGCUAUACGAGAUGAAGGGUAAUACUUGAGUUUCAUGUUCUAUUGUGGCAUUAAAGUUAUUUAUCAUUUGAUGUAGCUAUGAGGAGAGUGACGAAGCAUACGUUUUCUGAUCAGAAAAUCAAUUUUGUUUUGUGCUUGAGAGAUCGACUAGAGAGUUAUGUUUCUUUUUUAGAGUUUAAUGGAGAGAAACAGAAAUAAAAGAAACCUUUAUAUGCCUCUAAUUGAUUUCAAGAAGGAUUUUAUGACGUGACAUACAAUGUAGAUAGAAGCUAGGGCUUUCAAGUUCUAAGGUUACAAACCUAAGCUAUAAAGAAAUUUAGAGAAAACUCUUUAAUGUUUUAUUAAAAGUCUGAAUAAUAAUCUAAAGUCUCAAAAUAAAUUAGGCAUCCUUAUUUUUAUUAGUGCUAAAAUCCUUUAUAGGAAAUGAUUCCCAAUUAAAACUUAAAUCCUUUAUAAGAAAAGAUUUCUAAUUAAAACUUACCUAACUAAUAAAUCCAUCUAGCAUUAGAAUUUCUAAAUAAUAAAGUAUUGAUUAAAUGAAAAGUCCUAAUCUAAUUAGGAACAAGAAUCAAAAUACAACAAGGAAAAUAAAUACAAUCAUGUACAAUAACUUCCAAGCCCUAUUUGAAUGCCUUUCCAAUAUCCAAUCAUCAUGAAAUUUUAACCUAAUAGGAAACAAGGCCUUCAAAAUCUUCUGUCAAAAGUUCAGCUCAAUGCAAUGGUCAGAUUAAAAGUUAUGCUUGGUUUACCAAAUUGUGUCUUGAACUCUUCUUAAACUCCUCAAAAUCUAAAAACCUUAAUCGUCAAUGAAAUAAUGCAAUAAAUAUUAUUGUAUCAAUAAUAUUGAAGAAAUUUUCCCAUAUCAAUCCCCUCUACUUCUAAAAAAAACUCGCUCUCGAGUUAUCCAUUGGACUCGACCACUCCAAAUAAAUAAAUACUUUGAAUACAACAUUGUCACCAAUAUAUGUAUGAGAUAGAUUGUUCCAAAUAUCUUAAAUCCAAUUUUAGCAAAGAUAUAUUCAUGUAGAAUUUCUGAAUCUAAACAAAAUUUCUCAAGACCCAAAAAAUCAACCUCAUAUGAAAAUUUCUUUUGAGUUGAUGGCAACAUUAAUUGACGUGUUUGGUCAUCCCUCACAAUAACAUCUUGACCAUCAAUUGGAUUGGUAAUCUUAGAUGAUUGAUCCAAUAAGAAUAUGAUUGGUUUAAACAACACACCCAUACUUAAGUCCUAUUUGAUGUCAACUUUAGCCUCCUGAGCAAUUCCAACAACUUGUUCUGGCUUUUCUUUUAGUGAUUCGAGACCUUGAGAAUCACUACUUCAUGAGCUUCUUUGAUUUCUUCUUCAUUAUUAGUAGAUGAAACAUCAAGUAGAGUAGUAUUUGUAGCAAUGUUGUGUUAUCAUUGUUGUGAUGUUGAAACUUUCUACUAUGAAUAGUCGACACCUUCUCUAUAAUUUUCUUCCUUGCUCGUUUAGAAAGUUGAACGAAAGACAAAUAAUAACAAUCCAAUUGCUUAUCUAUCCAAUAUAAAAUCUCUUUGUAAUAAUCUUGUAUAAAUUCUAAAAUUAUUGAUUGUUUCAAAUCUUGCCGAGAUCGAAUUAAAGAGAUACUAAUAAGAGUUCUAAAAUCUAAAAAUCCAAACCAUCAUUCUCUAGCACCAUAAGAAAGUGUGUACGACAAGUCCUUCCUUUUGAUGAUAAGAAACCUUGUUGAAAUAAAAGUAAGCUUCCAGGACUCAGGUUUGCUAACUACUUGAUAAAUCUUUUAUUUAAAAAUCUCCCAUUAUAGAAUGAGAUCUCAUCAAAUUCAGGAAUAGGUCUGGGGUUAGCCUGCCUUGAGGUAAGUCUCCAGGUAAGUUUAUACCCUCUUCACAAUCUCUAUUUGUGUUACUCAUUAGCCAAGCUAGAUCUGCCAUGGUUUGCUCCAAACGAUCAAACCUUUGUUUCAAACGAUCUAGUUUUUGCUCUCGAGUCCCCACAAUGCCCUGAAAAGCCUCCACUCCUGCAUCACGGAGUGGGUUACUACUGUUUUCAUCUAUUAAAGAGGCUAACCUGCUUUGAUAGUAAUUGACACGACGUAUAGCGUGGAUAGAAGUUAGGGUUCUCAAACUCUAAGGUUAUAGACCUAGGUUGUUUUAAAAAAAAAUUCUCUAGUGUUUUAUUAAAAAUCUGAAUAAUAAUCUUCAAUUUCAAAAUAAACUAGUCAUUCUUAUUUAUAUUAAUCCUAAAAUUCUUUAUAGGAAAUGAUUCUCAAUUAAAAUUAAAAUCCUUUAAAGAAAAUAAUUUCUAAUUAAAACUUACCUAGCUAAAAGAAACCAUCAAGCAUUAGGAUUUUUAAAUAGAAAAAUACUAAUUAAAUUAAAAUUUCUAAUUUAAAUAGAAAAAAAAUCCAAAUACAACAAGGAAAAUAAACACAAUCUCAUACACUAACUUCCAAGCCCUUUUUAAAUGCCUUUCUAAUCUCCAAUCAUCAUGAAAUUUUAAUCCAAUAGAAAAAAGUUUUUGGAAUCUUGUCACAAUUUCAAAAUAAUUUUAGUUUAAAUAAACCAAUAUUUUUAAAAUAUUUUUUUAGAAAAAAAAAUACAAAAUAAAUUUUUUUAUUUUUAAAAUUUAUUUUUAAUAUCAAUAUAUCAAAACCAACUUAAAACAUAAAAAAAAUUAAAGUAAAAAUAAAUAAAAAAAUUUACUUUUUUUUAAAUCACUUUUAAAAUACAAAAAAAAAAGAGGUUCAAAAUGAAUGUCGGGAUUUGUUGAUGUUAAAACCCAGGCAUCAGAUGCUAAAACAAGAAUAUAAAUAAAAUACGGUAUCCAAUCAAAACCAUUUUCAAGAUGUUCUCAGUUGUAGAUAAUGUAUGGAGCAUGGAAUAGAACAUUUCAUCGCAUGCCUAUCUAAUCCCAGAUACACAAGACAGAAUAUUUAUGCCACCAAUCACAAAACUCAAGAAGCAGCAAUCAGAUGAUAAUAAAGACAUCAAAAUGUUUAAAACGCUCGAGUCCUAUGACAUGCCAAGUUACAGGAAGGCAUCCUUCUCGAGCAACUUUAGCACCUCUUGCUGGUUGUUGAGUUUAGCAACAU